UCAAUUUCAAUUUCGGUUUAAAGGCAUAACUUAAUCAAUACUAUUAAAAUAGAAGGCUUUUUUUAAAGUACCCUCAUGUUUUAACAAUAUUUACAAGACAGUGCCACUAGAUUAUUUUUAAGCUACGAUUUUAAUUAAAUGUUUUUUUUUUGUUUUUUCCAUAAAUCGCAGAUAACCAUCUCCUAAUUCUGUGUGAUCUUUUUCUACUUCUUUAGUUAAUUUACAAAGUGUAGUUAUAAUUUAAAUACAACUAUCCUAUCCUUGCUAUAUGAAUUAAGAGUUAUUCUUGGGUUCACGCCUAGGGUGAACCUCUAGAUUCACCAACCAAUAGGAUUUUAUUAUUUCAAAUUCGAUAUCUUUUAAAAAAGGAAAUAAAAUAUUGUCAAGUUAUAUUAUGUUUUUAAAAUAAAAAGUAAAAAAAAAUUAGUAGUUACAGAAAAAAAAUUAAAAAAAUAUAUUUUUAACGUCGUCAGCAAAACACUAAACCCUAAUUCCUAAUCCCUAAACCCUAAAUCCUAAACCCUAAACCCUUGGGUAAACCCUAAACCCUUGGGUAAACCCUAAACCCUUGGAUAAAUCCUAAACUCUAAAUAAAAACACUAAACCCUAAAACGCUAAACCCUAAAUCCUAAACCGUAAACCCUAAACCCUUGAGUGUUUUAGUGUUUAGUGAUUUUGAUUUAAAGUAAGAUUUAUCCUAGAGUUUAGAGUUUACCCAAGGGUUUAGGGUUUAAGGAUUAGGAUUUAGGGUUUAAUGUUUUGCUGACGACGUUAAAAAUAUUUUUUUUGUAAUUGCUAUUAUUUUUUAUUUAUUUCUUUUUAUCUUUUAAUUUUAAAAAAGAUAAUAUAAUUUGACAAUAUUUUGUUUCCUUUUUUAAAAGAUAUUAAAUAAGAAAUAACAUAAUUCUAUUGGUUGGUGAACCUCUAGGUUCACCUUAGGGGGUGGAUCCAAGAAUAAGUUAUGAAUUAAGACUUUUUCUUGGGUUCACCCCCUAGGGUGAACCUUUAGGUUCACCAACCAAUAGAAAGUUGUCAUUUUAGAUCUAGUGUCUUUUAAUUAAGGAAACAAAAUAACUUGCCAAAUUAUAUUAUGCUUUUAAAAUAAAAAAUAAAAAAUUAAAUAAAUAAAAAUAACAAUAGUUCUAAAAAAAGAUUAUUUAAAAAAUAUAUUUAUUUUUAAGAUUUAGAGUUUAGUGUUUAAGAUUUAUAAUUUAGAAUUUAUCCAAAUGUUUAGUGUUUUUCCAAGGGUUUAGGGUUUACCUAAGGGUUUAGGGUUUACCCAAGGGUUUAGGGUUUACCCAAGGGUUUAAGGUUUUCCCAAGGGUUUAGGGUUUAGGAUUAGAGUUUAGGGUUUAGUGUUUUGUUGACAACAUGUUUAGUGUUUUUCCAAGGGUUUAGGGGUUUACCUAAGGAUUUAGGGUUUACCCAAAGAUUUAGGGUUUAGGAUUUGAGUUUAGGGUUUAGUAUUAGAGCUUAGGGUUUAGUGUUUUGUUGACAACAUUUUUUUUUUUUGAAUUCGUUUUUUAUAUAUUAUUUUUAUUUAUUUUUAAAUUUUAUUUUGAAAAAAUAAUAUAAUUUGCAAGUUAUUUGGUUUCCUUAAUUAAAAGAUACUAGAUUUAAAAUGACAAUUUUCUAUUGGUUGGUGAACCCAAAGGUUCACCCCCUAGGGUGAACCCAAGAAUAACUCAUGAAUUAAUAUACAUCGAAUGUUUAAAACCUUUGGUUAACUCGGUUUUUAUAAAUUUGUGCGCGCAGACCAACUGCGUAUCUACGCUUUAGAGCAAAAUGUACGGAAGGCAGAGAAAGAUAAUAAUAAUUACGUAGAGCUUUGAUUCAAACAUGGGAAUACAAGGUCAAAGAAUCAAAUGAGGAUUGAAAAUGUUGGUCACACAAAACCUACGACAACAUGUUCCUCGAGGUACAAUAUUUUAUACACGAACUUCGUGUUUUAGUUUGUUUGCUUGGUUUUGAUUAGAUUAUUUACUUUGGCUAUAAUUGAUGAUAUUAUCAGAAUUAUUUUCUCUGCAAGCUUCAACACUAACAAUUACUUAUUCAGAUACAGACGAAACUAUAAACUACCUAUGGUCUGUUUUUUUUUAAAUUCAUGACUUAUUUAAUAAUAUUAAGUUAAAAUUUUAACAGUUGGGUAUAAAAAAUAGCAUCUUUUGAAUAAACUUUUAUAUACAAAAUUCCAAUAUUUUUAUAAAAUAACGAGAUUGACAAUAAAGAUUUUGUUGUUGUAACUUAAUACAUCUCGAAAAUCAGAAAUAAUAUAUUGUUGUAACUUAAUAUAUCUCGAAUAAUCUAUAUCCCUAGAAUAUUCCUAAUUAUAAAUGAUUUUAAUAUGUUUACUAUCCUAUUAAUUUUCGAGCGAUAAGAAGUAUAUAAAUAUCGAAUCAAACACAACAAAUAUAAUCAUUAUAAACCUUCAAACUCUCCUAUUAAUUUUCGAGCGAUAAGAAGUAUAUAAAUAUCGAAUCAAACACAACAAAUAUAAUCAUUAUAAACCUUCAAACUCUCCUAUUAAUUUUCGAGCGAUAAGAAGUAUAUAAAUAUCGAAUCAAACACAACAAAUAUAAUCAUUAUAAACCUUCAAACUCUCUACCUUAAUCUACACUUAUGAAUUCCGUUAUCAAAAUCAGCAACUUGAGUGAUGUUAAGACUUUCAAAUAUGCACGGAGAUUCCAGGUUAUUGUGGUUCAUACAUGUAAGUCAAACAAUCCCGAAAAUGGUUAUUCUCUUGAGAUGGUCUUAACAGACGAAAAUGUAAGCUAUAUUCACUACCUAUCGUCUAUUUUAACUAUGUUUAAUAUAUGAACUUCAGCGUCAUUUUUACAGACGAAAAUAUAAGCUACAUUCACUACCUAUCGUCUAUUUUAACUAUGUUUAAUAUAUGAACUUCCCUACCGUCGUUUAGAUGGAUUAUGUUUCGUUUCUCUUUCUUGAAUCUAUUUAGUAUCCUGAUCUGCUUUUGUCAGGCUUUGCUUUUGUUCAAUGUGCUUCAUCUAUGGCUAUAAAUAGAUUUCUUUCAUAUGAGUAUCGGUCUUUGCUCGGCUUAUGAGUAAAGUAUCUCUGUUUGGAAAAAAAAUUAAUGGAUUUGGAGUUGCUUUUUUUGAUCCAGGUGAGAAUCAGAGGCUGGCAUUCUUCGAUGGGAACGGUCCGACAAUGUGUCUCUCUUUAGAUCUAUCAGAUUUUCCUCUAUUUUGAUCUCUGGCGAGUCAAGUUCUUCAGUCCAAAAGCAUUUAUUACGGGCAAAAGAGAUGUUGCUCUGGGAGUACAGGGAUAUGGAGGAUCGUGGCUUACGGAAGAGACGAAGACAUCACCAGUGGUUCGAUUUCAGGGAGGACUUCCCGUCGGUAGACCAAAACAGAUUUGUUUGCCACGUAACAAGCUCUAUUAUUAGUGGUUCUCACGUGUUUUAAAAGCAAUUCUGGCCUCUAGACUUAACAACUUUGUACUCUCUUUUUUUGACACAUAGCAACUUUGUACUCAUUUCCUGGAUUUUGAGCUUUAUAAAAUGAUAUGUUGACAAAAAAAUGUAAAAUAUGAUCUACCUACAAGCGAUCGAGCUAUACUUUUCUCUUCAAUCCUUUUUCACAUUUACUCAUGAUUAACAUUAUUUAUAUUAUAGUUUCUCAUAAACCUUCUUCUCUAUUAACUUUAUAGAAACAAUGUUUCUUUCCGCAGACUACAAUGAUAUAUAAACAUACUUUUCAGAAUUUUAUACAUGAGGUAACAGUGGUUUCCAACUUAUUUGAAUCUGUUGCUAGAUGAAAUGAGUAAGAUGAUAAAUAUGAACUAUGAAGUAGUCUAUACAACCAAUCUUUCAUAGAUAUAUCUCUAUCAUUGUUAGCUUUCAUAUUAUUACAACCAGCCCAUAUGGUUUAGCUUUGAUCAGCCAACAAAAUUAAAUAUAUUCCCAUAUUAAUAUCAGGUGUAAAUAUGGAGACAUGUUUGAAACUCCACGAAUUUUGUUAGUAUCUUAGAAAAUAUUACCAUCCACAAAAUAUAGGAACUUCCAUAAUCUCCUACAGUUAUAAUAUCCUAUCAGUAUUUUGUGCAGUUCAAGAAAUGUAUUCGUAAGCUAUAUAUGUAUUAUAGAUAUUAUCAUACCUAACAUUUUUUUUAUGAUAUCAAUGUUUCAAGAAAAGUUCAGUCAUGUAUUCUACAAAAUCAUUGUUUUAGAAAUGACAACAGUAAUAAAUACUUAUUUUGUUUCAAAAUGGUACAUAUUUUGAGAUUUUCACACAUGUUAAUAAAGCAUAUUAAAUCUUAGUAUUAAAUGUAUAUUUUUUUGUGAUUAACUAUUUUACACAAUUCUUAACCAAUCAAAAUUCAAUUAAUUUUUUUGAAGUUUACAAUUUACCAUUAUUAUUUAAUAAAAAUUGCACUGGAAAGAAAAAAAAAAUAUUUUUGAAACAAAUUAUAAACCGUCGAUUAUACAGAAGUUAUUUGAAAUUCACAAAAAAAAAGAUUAUACCAACAAAUUUAUGCUUCGGCAUAUAAAUUGAAACCAAAAUCGAACUGAAACGAAACAAGAAAAGAGAAACCAAACAAAAAAUAACAAAACCAAAACUUAAUCAAUGCUCACAGAUAUUUGAAUGGUUUAUAUUUCUCUCGAACAUAAAAGCCAAAAUAAGACCGAGAAUCGAAUGGGUACCCAAAUCUCCAGAAUACAGUUUAUAUACCUAAAACCAUUGAUAUAUUUAGAUUUAAAAUUAUCACAUAUUCUAAAUACUAAUUAUAAACCGAUUUAUCCAAAAAGCAAGUGACUCUUUUAUACAACCAUGCCUUUGCCUUAUUUAAAAUCUAUAUUUUUUAAUUACUGAAGUUAUUCCAUGACAUACCUUUUAUUUCAAUAAACUAUAUAUUACUUGAUUCCUUUUCCUUUUCAACGGAAAUACUUAAACCCUUUCUAAGUUUACAUAAUUAUAAUUAAUUAUAUUCUUCAAAUAUAUGUCAUCAAAUAAUUGUAAACGUUUCAUACAUUAGUAAAGAAACUAUCUAUAAUAUAGGCAACAUCUAUCUAUAUAUAUAUAUAUAUAUAUAUAUAUAUAGAUGUUGCCUAUAUUAUAGAUAGUUUCUUUACUAAUGUAUGAAACGUUUACAAUUAUUUGAUGACAUAUAUUUGAAGAAUAUAAUUAAUUAUAAUGCCACACAGGCAUCCACAUAGGAAAGUUGAAGUCCCAGGCGUUGACACGUGUCCCGCACAUACAAAACGCUACACUUAAGUCACCUUACGCAACGCAUCAUUUCAUUUUUUUUUUAUCAAACCAUACUUCCAUUAUACUGAAACGAGUUUAAACUCCAUUAUAGGAGUAUACAACAAGGCCAUAGCAAGCCAAACAGACAAAUAAACUGACUGAAUAAUAGAGAGAUAGCUUAAGAAAACAACUUACAAAAGAAGGCCAUAAAAACUGCAUAACAACAAUUUCAUAGGCUUUUUGACAAAUUGCAUCCAGUGUAACCCAAAGGGUCACAAUCACUGCCUCAAAGGCAGAAAAAUGCACUAGCUGGGAGGAAAAUCCUUGCAAUACCAGCAAUGCUUGUUCAUCCAAUUCGCUCCAUACAUGAGGAAAUAUUGGGAAAAUAGACUGCUCCAGACAGGAAACACCCAAGAGAAAAGUACUCGUCUCAACCGGCUUCAACAGAAGGAAUACCAUAGAUAGUGUUUCUUCGAUCUGCCACCAAGAAGAAACACACACCAACAUAGCACAAAGAGCCAGAUUGAACACAAGAAACAAACUGCAUACUGCAGUAGAGAUUGGCACUGAGGCCAUAUAGAUGCUACUAACGAGCACAAGAGUAGAAUCUAAGGAGAAAGACUCCAUCGGAACAUCACAAAUUAAGACCAGGAUCCACAUAUCCAGUGCCUCCCAUACAACCCGUGUUUCAUACCAUUCAACAGAAUAAUGAACCGAGAGUGAAGCGCAGAGGCAAACCUGGAAGAGAACAUCAGGACAUGAUCGAAAAGGAGACCACACUGUGCGCCGGUGGUAUAACAAACUGCAUCCAGCAGUACAUCGACGCCCAGAGACAAAAGAUGAGACACCAACAGACAAGUGAUGAGUGUCUCCGCCUCUCAUCUUACUCGUCAAAAUUGGCGAAUGAGACUCCAGAUCUUGGAUUUUGGGAAACGCAUGGGAUGAAAGGCUGGCGGCGGCGUUGAGGAAUUGAAACAGAGCGAGAACAGAGGAAGCGUCGGGAGGGUCUGGUGGGUCCGGCGGAAUGGUGGGAGAAAGAGAUUCAAACCAAAAAAAAGCUUACAUGGUGGUGGGUCGGGAAGAGGCCUGAAACGCGACGGGGCAGGAGCAGUCAUCAUCAGGAGCAUGGCGGAAGAGAAGAUCUGCUUCAGGAGGAGGAAGGCUGAACGGCGGAGUUGAAGCGGAUGAGAUCCGUCAAAGCGGCGUGCAUAGGAAAAUGGGCCUGAAAGGUUUUACCUAGGGCGAACUUACGCAACGCAUCAUUUCAUUAAUACUAUAAUUUUUGUGUUUGUUGGGCUUAUUGUUUUAGUGUUUUACCCAUAAAACUUCGUUACACGGCGGCGCCUGUUCUGCUUCUCCGAACUCUGAAACUGCUCGAGUUAUGGUUUUAUAAAUAUGUCAGUACUUCUCCUCCUCAAAUCAUAUGUUUCUCCUAUUUUAGUAUACAUAUUCACGGUGAUAUGUCUAAAUCGAUGAUGUUUUGGUCCGAUUUGAAGUCCGGUAAGUUUAUCCCCAUAUCUUGAUAAUCGUGUUUUCAAAUUAUUCCGUCGAUCAUUUCCAUGUUUGUUGAUACUAAGAUUUCUGAACAUGGAUGUCUCAGGCGACUAUAACGCAGGCCACCAUUAAUGCUAACCGGCGUCCAACAUUCCGACCUAGACUCACGGCCGGUUCGAUGUGUUCAACAGCCGGUACUAUGAUAGGGUUCGUGUUUUACAAAAAUGUUAAUAAAUCUGUAACUGUCGAAUAAAUACACAUCAGCAAUCACUAUUAUGUUGAUAAUCAGAGCCAUUGUAGCUAAGCCUUUCAUUGCAGUACCCUUAGAUCUGUGAGAAAUGCUCUGAGUAAUGGUGAACAAAACAGAUAGAAGAGUUCGAGGAUCUGGGUCCAGCGAGUUGAGUAGUAACACAGAAAAAAGUUUGGGCGCUCACAGCCUGACAGAGCACACCAAACGUUCACGUUGACACGAGAGUCUCGAGCUCCGGUUCGUAUUGCUUAUCAUUUUUAUUUUUUUUUACGAAGAAUUUUACUUUGAGUUCAUCACGACUUAUAACAUUUCCGAACAUACAUUUUCAUCAGGUGAUCAUACCGACAUUGCAUCACAAUUAUCUCACGUGAGGUCCCGAUCAUUAAUUAAGAGGAAAUCAUAUGGCACAAACAUGAUUCUUAUCAUGCCCACGAGCAUGCGAGCUCAAAGAACUUGGAAAGAGAUGCACUAAAUGUUUUUACUAUAAGGAGAUUGAGAAGUUUUUGGAGUUGGUGUACCGUGGCUAGUAUCCGCCGAAGCUUUACGUUCUUAUUUAUUUUCCGUUAUCACUCACGUUUCUUUACGUUCAGUUUCCUUUUAGUUUUUUUUUUUUUUGAAUUUUCUGCUAUCUCUCCUUAUAUAAUCUAAUGAUUUCAACUCCCGUUUUAGUCUGAAAACUUUUAUUUAAAAAUAAAAACCAUAUACGAAAAACAUGAGAGGGUUGAGAAUUGACGUCGAACGUACAUAUAUAUCUUGCGAAGCACUUAUAUAUAAAUACAAGAGAAAAAGAUAAAAAUAGCACUAAAUCAAGUUUUUGUUCUCAAAGUAGCACUCAAGGUCAAAAGUCACAAAAAUAGCACUUAAUGUUUUAUCAAAAGUCACAAACUUAGGGUUUAGAGUUAAAGGGUGUGGUUUAGGAUUUAGGGUUUAGGGUUUAGAGUUUAGGGUUUACGGUUUAGAGUUUAGGGUUUAGGGUUUAGGGUUUAGGGUUUAGGGUUUAGGAUUUAAGGUUUAGGGUUUAGGGUUUAGAGUUGAGAAAUGAGGUUUUGGGGAUAAGAUUUCAAAUUUUGAAAAAUAAAAAAAUUAAAAUUUUCAAAGGAUAAACUUAGAAAUGUGCUAUUUUGGUCAUUUUAGUUUUUGAGUGCUAUUUUUGUGAUAUUAACUUAAAAAUGUGCUAUUUUGGAGAUUUGCCCUAAAUACAAUUCAGAACCGAAUAAACCACCUCAUAUAAUAAUGGCGUGAUCACGUAACACAUUGAAACUUGACCACGCGCCCGACGCGCCCGACGAUUUUCUCUCGACAAAGCAAAAACGAGAUCUCACUCGUUUUCUCUCCACCGGCGUCUCUCCCGACGUCGGUCGCCACCGCCGACCAUGACGAAGAAGAAGAAGCCCAAAGACAAGCCACCCCGCAUCAACCCCUCUGUUUCCACCGCCUCCUCCACCGGUCCUGCCGCCUCCGCCUCCGCGUCCAUUCCCAGCUCCCCUCCAUCGGUUAAGUCUACAGACCUCGCCGAAUCAAAGCUACCUGGUCCUAUUAAUGCUCCAGCUAGCUCCUGCCCUGCAGAUUUGCCAAGUUUCCCACCUCUCGUUGUUGAUGAGUACGGAAAACCUAGCUCUCAAACCUCAGCUAUAGAACUUCAUGUACCUGAGAAAGGAACAAAUGAGGCUACCUCUGAGCAUCCUGGCUCUAGAGUGCACCCUCAAUCCGUUGAACAGCCGGCUGAUGUCGUACCCUGUUCACCUAAAACAAACCUGCAGCUUCACAACCAACAGGGAGCUAAGGUUCAAGCGUCUCUUUGGAAAGAGAAAGUCAGUCCAAACUCCGGAAGAUUGGACCCUGAAGGAUCGUCGUUUAUACUGGACUCAGGAGAGGCUUGCGUCACGAUACCAAAUUCUGUGAUUGAGCGUAACAAGAAGGCCUGGGAUAGCUUCAUAAUCGGUUAGUUUUAUGAAGAGGCACCGGCUCGAGGUGCUGUCCAUGCUAUUGUCAAUGGUAUAUUGAGUAAACACAGACGCGAUAUCUCGGUCUCGAAGAUGGAAGUAAAUGCUUUCCUUUUCCGGGUUCCCUGUCCGAACGCUCGCCGCCGCAUUCUUAAGCAAUGCCUCUGGCAAGUAGACGGCCAAACAAUGUUCGUCGCAAAGUGGUCACCAGGGAUUACGCCUGAGAAGCCAUCUUUGGCGUCUGUUCCUGUUUGGUUGGACUUUGUUGGGGUCCCUCUGCAGUUCUUCAACAGAGACGCCCUUAAGGAAAUUGCAGGUCUUGUUGGUCACCCAAUUUGCUUGCACCCCUCCACUGAAAACCUUACAAACCUGGAGGUAGCUAAGGUCUACACUGUCAUAGACCCACGGAAGCCACUACCAGAAGCGGUGAACGCCCGUUUUGAGUCAGGGGAGGUGAUUCGUAUAACAGUAUCUUGUCCCUGGUUGCCGUCUCUUUGUUCUCACUGUUCUCAAGUGGGUCAUACGAUCUCGAAAUGCCCUGCUGCUCCGCCACGGUGUGAAAUUUGCCGCUCAGUCAAACAUGCUACUUCAUCUUGCACUAGGACGAAUGCAAAUUUAGACCUCUCCAGGAUAAAUACUGACAAGCGCAAAGGUAAAGCUCCAAUCAAGAGCCAACUACCAAUCGUUGGUAUUGGGAAUAGUGACAUUAGGCGUGUUGGGAAUGCUCCUAAAACUGCUCCCAAAACCGCUUCCAAACCCAAGAAGGUGCCAACCAAGGAGUGGGUUCCUACUGAUAGCAAUAAACAAGACCUUCCUCGUACCAGUGGUCUCCCGGUGAUUGCUCAAAGUUCCAAGGUUCCUACCGACACAGGCUCUACUCCAACCUUCAAGAAAAAUAUUUCUGGUUCUAGAAAUGAUAUUGCUCUGGGGGAUUUCAUGGUGGACCUGCACUGUGGUGGUUUAGGAAGUCUAGCCAAGUCCCCUGCCGUAUCCAGCUCUGAUGAGGAUGACCAGAGUUCAGAGGGCUUGUCUAACGAGGAUGAUGACCCGGAUGAUGAAGGAGAUCAGUAUAUUCAGGUGAUUUCUCGUUGCUCUCGUAAGAAGAAUAAAGGAAAUGCUAGGGUCAGGGGCCCUUUAAAGCUCUGAUUUUUUUUUUUACCCUCUAUGGAUAUUUUUUGCUGGAACGUUAGAGGGUUCAACGAUAAAACUAAACGUCGCGGUUUUAGGAAGUGGUUACGAUUAAAUAAGCCAAUCUUCGGUGGCCUGUUGGAGACUCAUGUUGGUCCGCCUAAGGCUGCAUCUCUCAUCAACAGGGUUUUCCCCGGGUGGCAUUUCGAAUGUAAUUAUGAAUUCUCGGAUUUAGGUAAAAUUUGGCUUCUGUGGCAUCCUUCUGUUUCUGUUUCGGUGCUCCAGAAGUCUCUUCAAUGCAUCACGUGUUCGGUUAAGCUUCCUUUUGUCUCCACCGAGCUUGCUGUUACUUUUGUUUACGGCUCUAAUGAUAGGAAAAUUCGUCGUGACCUGUGGUCAGACUUGUGUUUCCUCUCCUCUUCUCCUAGCAUCACCCAACGUCCUUGGACUGUCCUAGGAGACUUCAAUCAGAUUCUGGACCCCUCAGAUCAUUCAAAAGCUGCGGUCAUCUCUUCCUCUCGGGGUAUGCGUGACUUCCUCAACUGUAUUAUCUCUACUGAUUUGUCUGAUCUCCCUUACUGUGGCAACGAAUUUACUUGGUCCAACAACCAAGGUGAAAGUGUGAUAUCCAAAAAGCUGGACAGAAUUCUCGUUAAUGAUGGUUGGUUGAGGCUAUUUCCAAACUCACUUGGUGUCUUUGGGGAUCCUGGCAUCUACGACCACAGCCCCUGCUGUGUUUUUCUUGAUACUACCAGACCCAAGGCAAAGGCCCCUUUCAAAUUCUUCUCAAUGCUUAAUGAUAACCCAGAUUUUGCGCCUCUAAUAGCUGAGUGCUGGUCUUCCCUGCCUUUCCAUGGCACGAUGAUGCUUAGAGUUUCAAAGAAACUCAAGGAACUCAAGAGCAUUAUUAGAGCUUUCAGCCGAGAGAAUUACUCGGGAAUUGAAAAAAGAGUAACUGAAGCUUUUGAAGAGCUCUCUCAGUGUCAACAGAUUGUUUUGUCUUCUCCAACGCCAACGGCGAGCUUAAAUGAGAGAAUUGCUCAUGGCAAAUGGGUCAACCUUGCUCGGGCGGAAGAGUCAUUCUUUUUCCAGCGGUCUCGUGUAACAUGGCUUGACAAAGGAGAUGUUAACACUACCUUUUACCACCGCCAGGUCAGAACAAGACUAUAUCAGAAUCAGGUUAUUUUCUUGCAGGAUGAUUAUGGUAAUGUGGUUAAUUCGAAGGAGGAUAUUAUGAACCUGGUUGUGUCGUAUUACGAGAAUCUAUUUGGCGGUGUCUCUCCUUCCACUGACUCUUCUCUGGAGGACUUAUCUCAGUUAAUCUCCUACAGAUGCUCCCCUUCAGUUAAGGAAUCGCUGGAAGCUCCGUUUACAAGCUUGGACAUCCAAUCAGCUUUUUUCUCUUUACCGAGGAACAAAGCGUCGGGUCCGGAUGGCUAUCCAGCAGAGUUUUUUACUCAUCAUUGGAAAGCAGUGGGGCCUGACUUGUUUAUGGCUAUCCAGGAAUUCUUCUCCUCAGGGAAAAUGUUACAGCAGUGGAAUGCAACCAUUCUAACUCUCAUCCCCAAGAAGAAAAAUGCAGUGCUUGUCUCUGACUUUAGACCAAUUUCAUGUUGCAACACGGUGUACAAAGUCAUUUCCAAGCUACUUGCAAACCUGCUGAAACAAAUACUUCCGUCAGUAAUCUCGAAUACUCAAUCUGCAUUUAUUCCGGGAAGACUACUGGUGGAAAAUGUUCUUAUGGCCACCGAGCUUAUUCAAGGUUACAACUGGAAAAAUAUUUCCAAGCGCUCUCUUCUCAAGGUUGAUCUGAAGAAGGCAUUUGAUUCUCUUAAUUGGGACUUUAUUUUGAUGCUUCUCAAGGCGCUUUGUUUCCCUGAAUCUUUCAUCAACUUGAUUGCUCAGUGUAUCACAACAACCAGGUUCUCAGUUUCGGUAAAUGGCGAGCUAGGGGGAUAUUUUAAAGGUUCUCGCGGCCUGGUCAAGGUGACCCCCUCUCCCCAUAUCUCUUUGUCCUAGCUAUGGAAGUGUUCGCACAGCUCCUGAACAAGAACUUUGUAAAUGGUGACAUUGGCUACCAUCCAUCAGCGAAUGAUCCGGCUAUCUCUCAUCUAGCAUUUGCGGACGACAUAAUGGUUUUCUUUGAUGGAGAACAGAGCUCUCUUCAGCAAAUAGCAGCAACCUUUCAGAGCUUUGCUUCUUGGUCGGGCUUACAUAUGAACAGGGCCAAAACUGAACUGUAUGUGGCGGGGUUGAGCCAGACGGAAACCGCAGAUUUGGCAAGUCUUGGCUUCUCUCUGGGAUCACUUCCUGUCCGCUAUCUUGGUCUCCCUCUAAUGCAUCGAAAGCUCCGUAUCUGCGACUACAGGCCACUUAUGGACCAGCUUAAAAGGCGCUUCUCCUCCUGGACCUCCUGUGCUCUUUCCUUCGCAGGGAGACGCCAAUUACUUAACACUGUCAUUGCUGGUACCCUAAACUUCUGGUUUUCAUCCUUUGUUCUUCCGAAGGGCUGUAUUAAGGCUAUUGAAUCCCUAUGUUCUCGGUUCCUCUGGAAUGGAAACAUCACUAGUAAAGCGGCAGCAAAGGUUUCUUGGAAUGUGGUAUGUCUCCCUCGUUCUGAAGGUGGUCUAGGACUUCGAAACCUCAGCAUAUGGAACAAAACUCUUUCCCUUAAGCUGGUCUGGCUUCUUCACAGUGAGUCUGAGUCACUUUGGGCCUCCUGGACUAAACACCACCGACUUAAAGGACUCAGCAUUUGGAGCUUAGAUGAAAAGAAGCAGGGGUCUUGGAUCUGGAAAUCUAUUUUGAAGCUCAGGCCACUUGCUGAAAAUUUCCUAAGGUGUGAAGUUGGCAAUGGGGAGCAAGCUAGUUUCUGGUUUGAUUUUUGGCUACCGAUAGGCCCUCUGAUUAACUUGCUGGGUUUUGACGGACCGCGGCAACUUGGUGUCCCCAUUCAUGCCAAAGUGGCAGAUUGUUGCUCCAACACUGGUUGGAUUCUGAGACCAGCAAGGUCUCCGCAGGCAGAGCAGCUCCAUAUCAUCUUGUGCUCCGUCCAGCCUCCUUCACAUUCAUCAGUGCGAGACUGCUACAAGUGGUACGUUGAUGACCUCUACUUAGACUCUUUCAACACUGCUAGAACUUGGGAAUCUGUUAGAGAUAGGUCCAGUACUGUUGAUUGGGAAUCAGUGGUUUGGUUUGGUGGCCACGUUCCAAGACAUGCCUUCCACAUGUGGGUUACUCACUUAGAUAGGUUGCCAACAAGAUCUCGCAUUGCAGCUUGGGACCAUAACGUUGAGAAUUCUUGUCUCCUCUGCAACGGGCUGGACGAAAACAGAGACCAUCUUUUCCUCCGCUGCAGGUUUAGUGAGCGUCUUUGGAAAAUGAUCAUUCGAAGGCUUGGCUAUCAACCCUUCUUAUUCCACACUUGGACAUCGCUUAUAGAAUGGCUUCGCAUGAAGGAUUCUACUUGCCCUCAGACUCUAGCUGGCUGCUCAUGCAGUCAUCUAUCACCUGUGGCUUGAGAGAAACAACCGUUUGCACAAUGCAGUCUUCUCGUCUACAGACCGCAUCUUCAAGGACAUAGAUCGUCAUAUCAGAAACACGAUCCAAGGAAGGGGAGGAAGAAGUUUCAUUCUCUUAUCUGCACUUGGCUGAGAUUCUCUUAGCUAUGUGUUAGUGCUGUUGAGUUUUUAUAAACUCUCCUAGAAAAUCCUGUGAUGUUUUUUAUCUUUUUUUGGCAUCAUUUGAUUUAGUAGCUUUAACCUUUUGUACAUGUACAAACAAUGUUUCAUUUUUAUGAUAAUUCACAUACUUAUAAAAAAAAAAAAUAAUAAUGGCGUGAGGCUUCUAAAAAUUCAAAAGAUUUAGGGCUGAUAUGUUGUGCCUCGAUAGUUGAAUUAUUAGUUACUGUAUUUGUGGUUUCAUGCUUCUAAAAUAUAUUAUCUUUAAAUAUUAAAAAAAAAUGGAAAAUGACACAGUUUGUAAAUAUCAUGUGAAGCUUCUACAUUCUGUUAUUCUAUAAUACUUUUGAAAAUUAUAAUGCAGCCAUUAAUACGCAUUUCAGCAGCUGGAAUAUUAGCUACUGUAUAGGUUCUAACAGAACAAUGCGUUCAUCCCACCAGCCUAUAAAGCAUAACAUUACAUAUAAAAACAAAACGACCACAAAAAAGAGGUUAUAAUCUAUGCACGUAACCGCUGCGACAACUAUAAUUCACUUACUGCAGAUAUUUAACAUUAUGAUCCCAUAAAUUUCACAUUACAUGAACACACCAUAAAUAAUUAGUAGUUCUAAAAACCAAACCCUAUAAAAUUAUAAGAAUACUUACCCAAGAUUACAUACAAAUGAUUUAAUUUUAUCAAUUGAACUGAAGAAUUUUAUAGGUUUAACUUUAGAUAAUUGUUAUGCACAUUUGUCCAUCUGAAAUAACGUUGGUCACAUAUUAUUCCACUAUUAAUAGGCAGAGUAGCACAUUUAAAUUGCAACUAAACAUAAUACAGAAAACAAAUAAAAAAUAUAAGACAAAAGUACCAAAAAGAUACAAUUGUUAAAUAUGACCCUUCUUCUCCCUAAAUUAAAUACCCUCCCUCAAAAAAGAUAAAACCAGAAAAAUUAUUUAAAAAGAAAAAUCUCAUACAAAGUUCAAAAAAAAAAAAAAGAAAAUCUCAUACACAUUUGAUCAAUACAAUCUGGCUACAAUACUGAGAAUGCCCUCAUAUUAUUUUAGGUUAUUUUAUUUGGGAUAUGGUAUAUUGGUAUUCACAAAACUAAUCAUUCCACGUACUCCCAUACCCACCUAAGCAUACCUGAAUCUCACUGGAAGAGCCUAAGCUUGAUGGUCCAAGUUUGCCAGAAAAUAAAUUGGAAGCUCAGGUCUCGAACCUUGAUUUGGUUGGUCAGACUGUUGUUCUCAAAGAAGUCGACAGGAGUUACAUGAGAGUUACAGGUCGGGAUCGACAUCUGAGUCAAAUCUAGAAAGGAGAGCUUUGAUCGAUUAAAGAGAUAUGAAUGAGAUUCGCGAAUCUCUCUUAAGCUGACUCAACCGAAUAUGGAUGUGCUUUCCAUGGAGAUAAAAUCGUCGGAGGAAUACAAAAAUUAGCGACGGGAGACGCAUCGGGAUCGACUGGAUUUUUGACCAUCCGGUAAGUCGGGCCUCUAUAGAUAUGACAACAAGUCCUCACUGAGUCGCUGAUAUUGUCAUCGCAACAAAAUCAGAUAAGGAAUAAGAAGCUUAGCUUAAUUCAAUCUCAGAUGGAGACUAAAGAUUGUUGGAGAUAUUUAGAUUUGAAGUUCUGUUGAGACAAAACAGUGGCAAUGGAUUUGGUGCUAGGAUGAGCUUGGAGGUUAACGAAGAUGAGGAAAAGAUUAGGUAUGAAGAAUAGAUGAAGACGAUUGCUCAAAAAAAAAAGAAUAUAGGAAGACAAAGGAGAUUUUGUUUGAUUCUUGGUGUCGAAAGAGAAAAAAAAUAGGUUAGAGUUGGUCAGGUGACUGUUAGUGGGCUUUGGCUCUAGCUUUGUUACAGCAGCCCACUCCAAAGUCCACUUCUAGAUACCUGCACAAAGACGAGUUUGUUAAUUUUGUACGUAAAAAUAGAAAAAUAGGAUGCAAGUCAUACGAAUUUACGAACUUUAAAAGAUAUAUGUUUCUCUUUAAAAGAUAUUUAAAACAUAAAGGUCGUACUUUCAUAAAGCACAUAAAUCACAUAUAUGUUUCUCUUUAAAAGAUAUUUAGAACGGGUUCACAUUUCAUCAAAUCAAAGUUUAAGAAAAUUUUAAAUAAGUGAAUAUGUCAGUUUUCUUUUAAAUCAUUAAAAUCAAACCAACAAAAUAUUAAGAAAAACCACAACAGAUAAUUGGAAAACAUAUAAACCAGAUAUAACAAAAAAAAUAUAAGAACAAAAAAAAGAAAAAAGUUUGUAUUAAUAUAACAAAAAGAUUUAUUCAAAUAAAUGUGUUAAAAAAACUCAUGAAUUCCAAAACAAAAUUAACCAUAAAUUCUAUACUGAUAUAAUCAUAAUUUUUUUUAUAUAUUUGCAUGGCCAGAAGUAUAGAUGUAAUACAAAAAAAUGACAAAAUAAAUAAAAGUAUAAAUAAAUUAAGAUAACCUAAAACAAAACUAAUCAAUAGAUAUAUAUGCAACACCAAAAUAAGUUUAAUUAUAAAAUUUAGUUAAUAGCAACAAGAUUGGAUUGAGUUCCUAACAUUAAACAAUUUUAACACAUAAAAUAAAAAAUAUAACAACAAUUAUAAAAACAAAAAUAAUAAGAAAAUUAUUCCCGCGCGUAGUUCCAUUAAAAAUAUAUUUUUGAAAUUUUGAAAUUGCUUUUGGAGAUGUUCUUAACACAAAACAAUUGGUUUUGAUUCGUACUCCAUUAUAUGUUCAUCUUUUAAAUAAUAAUAACAUAACUAUUAUAUAUAACUUUUAUAUAAACGUAAACAAAUCAUCUUUUAAAAAAUGUAUUCAUCUUUCAUAUCUUUUUUCAAUUUCAAUAUUUUGAUGUUUUCAUUGAAUUACAAAUAAAGAUAAUAUACUAUCAUCAAAUUCAACACACAUUAUAUAUCAAAUAAUUUAAUAAAGUAGGUAAAAUUUAACUAAUAUAUAGUAUCAUAAAGUUAAUUUUUUUUUGAACAACAUAAUCAAUUACUGUAGCAUAAGCAAAAUAUAUAUUAUCACAUAUAAUCUCUCCUCACCUAAAACUUUAUAAAAGACAAAACUCAUUAUCAUACACAUCUCUUGCAAAUGAAAACUUAAAACAUAAAACACAAAAUCAUACAAAAUAAUAACCUAGAUCACAAGUAAAGUAUAUCCCGCCCGUAGGACGGGCCAAUCCUAGUAUAAUAUAAUACCCUACCUAUCUACCUAUAAUACUCUAGACAUGUUGCAAUAAAUUCUUUAAACAUUUCAAUUAGCUAGGUAAAAUUAUAUCUCCACAUUUUAAACUUUUCAAUUCAGAAUGAACAAAUGUACAUUUAAAUGCAGAAUGAACAAAUUUCAUCUAUAGUUUAUUCUAAAUUAAAAAUGUGUAUAAAUAAUUGAUUAUUGUUCUACUAUAAGUUUCAUAAUUUUGAAGUUAGCCAAUUGUUUAUUUAAAUUUUGAAACCUGAAAAUAUUUUCUUUUGUUUGUUAUAUUAUAAUAAUAAAUAAAAUAUAUUUUUUUAAAUGUCUUCAGUACCCAACCCAUAACCCAAAAAUAUAUUGUAUUAUUCAAUAGACUUUUAGUUUAAAGUUUCUAAAAUAUUCAUAUUUUAAUUAUAUUCGAAUAUAUUUUAUUUCAGAUAUAUAUAUUAUAUGAUAAACUAUCCUAUAUAUUGAGAAAGUAUUUAUUGUUAAAUCAUCACAUUCGUAACUGUGAUUUAUAGAAAUGUGAAUGAUUCCUAUUUCUCUAAAUCCAAAUAGCUAAAACCAAACUGAAAAUCAAACGGUGUCAAAAUAUUUAAACAUAAUAAAAUAUUAAUUUAUAUUUGUAUAUAAUAUAAUUUAUCAUUAAAAAUAUUCAAACCCCCCCCCCCCCCAAUUACAUGAAUUACUUGGGUUUUCAGUUUUCUAGGUUUAACUCAGGUUUUUGGAUAUUUUUUUUGGAAUUUUUGGCUUUAAAUCCAAAUUAAACCCAAACUAUUUCUAAUUUGGUUCAUUUCGGUUUUAUGAAAAAAUAAAAACCUGACUCAAACUACACAUCACCCGAAUCGAUCUGAUGCGAAAAAUGCAUGGUUCUCCUAAACAGGUCCUAACAUCCCAACCCCAAUAACUUGAAAACUGAAUAGCCCUAACUGACACGAACCUUAAACCCAAAUGCCUAUCACUAUGAGAAAUUAAAAUAAAUUACUCUCAGUUAAGUAUGUCAGAACUCAAAAAUUAGAAUUCAGACCAAAAAAUUGGUAAUUGUUAAAUCGAAAAAUUUAACCAAAAUGUUAUCUCGCGCUUUAAAAGCGCGGGUCAAAAUCUAAUUAAUAUUAAACUUCAAGCAAACUACCAUAUUAUUUCAUAAAGUGAUUUUCGUAAUGCAUAUAUGAUCUACUAGUGCAUUUCGAAGUAAAAAUGGUUCUCCUCAUUUUUAAUUUGUAGAUUAGAGAUAAAAAUUGUUGAAAACGGGUGAUAUUAAUACUUGUAAAUACAUUAGAUUAGAACAAGAAAGUAAAAUAGAAACAUAAAAUAUUGCUAAAUUACUAAAUUUUAUCGAUGAUAUUAAUAGUCGUGUAUAUUUUUUAUAUGAACAAGAAAGAAUUGUACGAAAAGACAUCAUCAACAACACCAACAACCAUCUUCAGUUACACAAAAAAAAAUUGGAUAAUAUUUGGAAAUUUUGAAGAUUCCGGAUCAAACUUACAUGAUUAUUAGUGUUGUUGUAAUAUUUAAAUUUGUGUAAUAGUUAUGUCUUCAUGAAAUUUUUAAAAAGCUUUUUUGUUAAGUUUCUUUUGUAUAUUUUUGUUAUCUAAAUCUGGUUUUAAAUAUUCUAAAUCUUAUUUUAAAGUUUUGUUUAAUUUUAUGUGUAAACUUAAAUGUUGUAAACAAAACUUAAAAUAUUUAUGAGAUAUAAUUUUUAUAAGGAUUAAAACAAUAAACAAAAAAAAUAUUUAUGAAUAAUAAAUGUGAUGUGUAAUUGUAUGAACCAAAAUGCAAAUAAAAAUAUGAAACUUCAAAUUUGAAAUUUUGAGUAGUGAAACUUCAAAUAUAGAGUUUCACUGCUUUUUAAGUUCCUUUUUGGAGAUAAAAAAAUUUCAUAUUUGAAGUUGAGUUUGAAGUUUUGAUUUUGGAAAAAAACUAAUUUUAAACUUCAAAUAUAGAGUUUUGGAAAGUUCAAAAUAUAGUUUUUUUUUAGAUGUUCUGGAGCAAAAAAUUUCACCUCUAUUUUUCCUCUAUUUUAAAAAUAUUUAUUAUAGAAAUGAGCCGGAGAUGAUCUCACAUAAAGAAACUUCACGAUUUAUCGUCUUCCAUCCGUUCACUCUUCUUCUCACUCACAAAGACACGAACCUGCACUUCUCAUUUCUCAGUGUUUGUGUUUUUAAGUGACUAUUUUUAUAAGACAUUGUUUUUUAACAAUUGUAUAAGACAUUUUUUUAUGAAUGAGGGCAUACUUUUUUAAUUGCUUAUGUAUGGUAUUGGUACUUGGCUCUGCCUGGAGGGAUAGUCCCUAGUUUCCUAAGCGUUCUCCCUCUGUUCUGUUCAUGCCAGUAAUGGUACCGAGCAGUCACAUUCGCAUUCCUCCACGCUAUAAGAUCGAAAACGUUCAUACAAGAGGCCCAUCCACAUGCUUGUGGAUCAAACUUUGAGCUGAUGAGCGGGUCCGAGAAGUUUAGAUACUUGUAAUAACGGUGAAAGGCUUCAAGACAUGUCCCCACAGCGCCAAUGACAUCUCCAUGAAGAUCGAAAGAGAAGAGUGAAGUCAAAUCUUUCUGAACAACAACGUCGUCGUCUAGGAAAACGAUCUUCACUAGCUGCGGAUAGAUCUCGGGAAUAUAGAAUCUUCUUUGUUAUUUUUAAAACAGUGUUUAUGUGAUUGGUUUUUAAAUUACCUAUACAUUAAAAAAGGGAUAAUAUUCACGAUUAGUUAUUUUAAAUCUUUUGAAAAAUUAGAAAUAAAAUAAUUGAUUUGGUAAAAUAUGAGUGUUAUAUUGAUUUUCUACCAACAAAGUUGCUAAUCAUUUGAAGAAAGAUCAGGUCAAAAGUUUCAGUAUCAUAUUGAAUACACCUUGUAUUAAAAACAGAGCUUUUAGACAACUGGGAUUAGGAUCAGGUUUUUCGCACCUGUAAAAAUUCAUACAUCAUCUAAAAGACUGAGAGCACGAAAUUUGUUAAAGCUUUCAAAACCUAGGAAUAUCUUGAGGCAGCUGCCAAGAUUUCAUACUGAACGUGAGAUCAUCUACAUGGUCUACAAAGGCGUAAACUCUACUACCACCACCAUGGUGCUCAAAACCUUGGACUUCAAGGCGUCUGACAGUGUUCCUUCCGGGAUGGAAGUAGAAAACAUAAAACGGGUUGGAGUAGUGAUUCAUCAAAACAAUUUCACCUGUAGCGGUCACUCCAACAACGGAAACAAAGCCAAUCCAGCUGAAUUUAUCACCAGGAAGAGCGAAUGGAUGUUCCGACCAAUCAUGUUUCUCUGCAUAUUCUAGAACCAACAUAGUCAUACUUUCCAGACGUGGCCAACUAAUCAGAGCUAAUUUACCCUCAUAGUAAAUAAAUCCUUUAUCAAAAACAUCUGCGGGGAUAAACUUGAAUUUCUCAGACCCAACAUCAAAGCAAGCUAUACAGAUAGUUGUAUGGUUUACUAGAGCCAAGUAAUAUAAAAACUCCAUUAAUGCAUGUUCCCCGGGACCUAGGAACAGGAUAAUGGGCUAAGGGAGAUUUGAUCUUCCUCCACUUAAUAUCUCGUGAAUAAGUUCAAGAGGGAUUGAAUUCAUCAUGAUCAGACUCUGAGAGAGAAAUAAUAGGGUGACAGGUGAAUACAAAUCAUUGUAGGUAAUCCGUAAUAUCUCUAUUAUUAAAAGAGAAGUACCCAUUAAAAAAUACCCAUAAGUUAACUAACUUAUUUACAUUUUCAUGCCACUGAGAAUUAAACUAAACUAACUAUUUUAAUGCUUGUCUUUUUCAGUUAAAUUAAUGAGUUUUCUUUAAUCAAAUUUAAACUUAAUGUCAUUAAAUAAACCUACAUAUUUCAAUGCUUGUCUUUUCCAGUUAAAUCAAUGAGUUUUCCUUAAUCAAAUUUAAACUUAAUGUCAUUAAAUGAACCUAAAAAUACAUCAUAUUUAACGUAGCUUAUUACGUACAAGUACGGCCCAAUAAUGAACUUGAAUUUUAUUUUUACGAAAACGUGAAUCACUUGACUUAUGUAAUAUUUAAAAUAUAUUAACUACAAUAUAACAAAUGCAUAUAACCUACCUAUACUUUAGUUUGAAAUGAUCAUGUUCAAGUUUUAUAUAGUCAACUUACAUCAUGCAUCGAUCGAUGUACAAUAUUCAAACCACCUAUAGUUUUCGUUUUCUUUAUAGGAUGUAUCAACCAACCAAUCAUCCCAUUGAUUUUCUAAGCUUUAUAAAAAAACAAAUCAAUAAAUACAAACUCAAAAUCUAAUAUCUUCUAUUAAUCAAAACAUAAUAUCUUCAAUGUCGUAUCUUUAAUGUACCUAUUAAAUAUAGAAACUGUAACCAUAAUUACACUAAUUAUAAGAAUAGAUUUGAUUCCAACCAAUUGAUCUAUUACUUCGGUAAUCGAUUUGCUUGCAGAAGAGGAAACAAUAAAUUUAAAAUUUAUAAGAAUAUAAAGAUAUAGAGAUUUCAACCAAUUGCCUAUAUUUGCGUAUGAUUUCCGUAUAAUAAGCUUCAAAUUGAACAUUGAAAAAGAUAGAGAGGUUUUUUUUUAAUCUUUUACCGACACAAACUUAAACAAAACGAAGAGUUAAAUGUAAUUUUUUUGUUACACUUCCCGGAAAAAACGGUUACAACAUGGAUUUUCAUAAUAUGGCCUUUUAACAUAUUAAUGUUAUGGACAUUUAAUAAUUAUCUUGACGAAAAACAAAGACUAUAAAUAAUUUAUUAUUAAUAAAAUUAUGAAAUUAUUUACAAUUUGAUGACUAAUUCAUCGCCUUUUUUAUAUGUUAAAUUUUUCAUAGAAGUUUAAAAAUUAUUUUAUUUUCUUUAAACAUUUAUAAUUAAUUUAUAAUCUUUUAUGCCAUACUAAGUCAUAAUAUAAUAUUUCUUCAUAUUUUACAUUAAUAACCAUUGUUUUUAUAUAUCGUCUACAAUUCUGUAAUUACGUCUAUUAUAUGAUAUCGAAUAUUUAUCGUAAUUAGAUGGUUUAAGAUGCCAAAAAAAUUAUUUACUUGGUGAAUAUAAUACAUCAAAUAUUACAAAUACAUUAUUUAGUUAAAUAAAUAACCAAAAACCGAAAAUUCAAACCGCAGGGUCUAGUUAAUAUUAGUGUUCGAGACCUAGCUAGGGCUUUCAUUACUAACCAAACCAAAUCGUGCAUAUGAUUCAGUUGAUUUAGUUCGAUUUCGGUUUACAGGCACAAACCGGUCGAACCUCGGUUCUUUGUUUUUCCUUUUUUUUUUGGUGUAUCGGAUCUUUGUAGCAUUUCGAUAUCUUGUCUAUUUGUUGUUUUCCGGAGGCUUUAAAACAUGUUUCUCUCUGUAGCUACGCUUUAGUUAUAUAUUCAGCAACUAUAACAAACUUUUGAAUGGAAAACCAAUCUUGCCUAAAAAACUAAGGUCAGAGAGAGAGAGAGAGAUGGCUCUUUUUCAUUUCUUUUGAAUAUAUAUGGUGUUCAGCAUUUAAUUUAACUCAGUGUUUGUAUUAAAAUGAUAAAUUUAUAAGUAUUAGAGUAGCUGUUGGGUGCAUGAAGAUGACUACCAGCAUAAUGGCAUUCACUGCUCCAACAGAUACAUGUUAACUUCUUGUUGUGUCAAAUUCAUGUUGAAAUAGAACCAAUGAAGGGGUCGAGACUCGAGAGUUAACUUGGGAAAGCAUUAGCUCAAGAAUAAAAAUUUUCAAGGUAUGACAAAGACUGUUGAUUAUUUGCAGGAAAAAAAAAAUCAUUAAAUGCAGAGAACAUUACUACAGCUUUGAAAACAAAAUGAAAUAAUUUAUCCAUCCAUCCUUGGAAGAUAAACAUACAUAUAACAAAAAGCUCACAAAAUAAAAUAAGUAUCCCUGUAAUCUAUUAAACCAAUAAGUACAUCAUGGACCUUCUAAUGUGUGAUUAUAAAUUGCUCUCCAGACCAUAAGAAGAGAACAACAGUCUUCAGAGAAAAUCUGAACCUGACAAACUUUCUGAGCUCUACAAAACAUUCCAAAACAAAAAAGAAUCUUCAAAGUGUAUAAGAAUCUUCUCAACUCUCUCAAAAAGUCUUUUUUCUUCUAAGCUGUGACACAAUCUUGUAAAUAAGGAUGGCUAGAGUUCAAAAACUUCAACCAAAAAGGUUUAUACCUACCAAUACCAAUCUUUAGCCAAGGCUUCAUGUUGCCAUUAUAAUGAAUCACAGCCGCGGUUUCUAUCAAACGGUUAUCAAUGUUGACAUCGUAGCCUAACCCCAAGACAUGCCAUCUUCUGUCUAGCGGCUCGGUGAGACCAUAGAAAGCCAACAGACCCGGAGGAAGAGUCCCUAGCUUCCAAAGCGUUCUCUCUCUGUUCUUCCCUUGCCAGUAAUGGUACCUACCAGUCACGUUCGCUUUCCUCCACGCUAUGAGAUCGAAAACGUUCAUACCAAAGGCCCAUCCGCACGCUUGCGGAUCGAACUUUGAGCUGAUGAGAGGGUCAGAGAAGUUUAGGUACUUGUAAUAACGGUGAAAGGCUUCAAGACACGUCUCCACGGCUCCGUUGACGUUUCCGUGAAGGUCUAAGGAGAAGAGUGGAGUCAAAUCUUUCUGAACAACAACGUCGUCGUCUAGGAAAACGAUCUUUUCCAGCUGAGGAUAGAUCUCGGGAAUGUAGAAUCUGAGAUGGUUUAGUAAUGACAAGUACUUCGGGUUCCUCGCUUUUGGCUCAGAGUUUGUUUCUUGGUCCCCGAAGUAGUAAGCUCUCGAGUCUGUAUCCAGCAGCUGCUUAACAACGGGAGAGUAAGAAGCGUUCAGCCAAGAGAACUCUUCCACGCUUCUGAUCUCUAUCGCUGCGCCCUUGAAGUCAUUACCAAGAAACCAAGCCUGCAUAGCUUUGUAGCUAACUCGAUUCGUCACUACGUGGAACACAAGCUGCUUCGGAUGAUCAGCGUUGGCCACAGUCGAGUUAACAGCAACAGAAGCAGCUAUUACAUUAUCAGUAAAGAUACAGAAGUGGUAGAGGUUGUUGUCAACGAGUCUCGGCGAGUUUCUGCUCUCAUCCGCCGCUUCACGGCGCGAUGACGCCUGCUCGGUUAACCAAUCUGACGUGAGCUUGAUCAUCAAACAGUGGAGGCUCUUCGGUACCGCCUCGGCAACAGAUUGACCAAACACUGUUGUCUGAACGGUUGCUGCGUUUGCGCGCUCUUCGAGGGCUUGGAUGUGAGACUUCAUAGUCAUCAUCGAGGUGGCUAUGUCGUAAUGCGCGUCCUGCGCCUUGUAGAUGAGAGAUGACAGGCCGGUGACGAUCGGUUUCGCUUCGUCUAACGAAAUGGGCUGGGCUCUCAUCGCUGCUUUUGAGAGGAGAAGCUGACAGGUUCGGAUCUUGGAGCUCAGCUCCCAAGCUAAGUGGAGAUUGUUGUGCUCUUUGGCUAUGAAAACAUAGGCUUUGGCGAGCGUCAUUUGCUCUGCUAGCUGCCUAGCGAACGAGGAUGCGCUUGUUACCUCUUCCGUGAAGUUUAAACGAGGAGGUGAUACGUUGUUGUUACUUGUGUCUCUUUCCUAUCAAAGAAGAAAAGAAGAUCAGAGUAACUUCUCCAAAUACAAAAACAUUUCUAUGUAGACAGUAUGAUAUAAGCUUUUGCACUCAUAGACUAAUAACAAUGUCAAUAAAUAAACUACACUAAGAUUUGGUCAUGCUGUUGUGAAAACAGCUCAAUUUGCAUUGAUUCCAUACAUACACAGACCAAACUAAUAAGUACCAGGGCCGAUACUGGGCUAAGCCGGAUGAAACAUUUCCCUCAAGCCUCAAAAUUUUCGAAAAAAUUAGCCCUCAAAUUAUUGAAAUCUUUCUUAAAUCGUCUAUAACUCCAAAAUCUUAGGGCGGCCAUGCUAAUAACCAUUCUCAGCUUUAAAAAUUAAAAACAUGAGGCUACAAUGACAGUGGAUUCACCAAUCUUUUUGUCAGCAAAAGAAUAAAGAUCCAAACUUUUUAAUGAGCGGGUGAUCAUCAGAGCAAUAAAAAACUCAAACUCUCAGCAAUCAAUAGAGUCAAUACUACAAUGCAAUAAAGAGAGAAAAGACAUAUAUACAAGGUUGAGCUGAGAUGGAUCUUGCUGUUGAUGACGAUGCUGAACCAUGAAGAGAACCAAUCCAGCGACAGAGAAAGAGCCAAGGAGAAGCCAUAUCCAACUCAGCAAUCUCCUUCUAGCUACCCUCCGCCUCCUCAUCUUUUUCCCCUACGAAUCCUCCACGGUUCCUCUCACCAGAUUCUUCUUACUGAAAUCGAUUUUAUUACACUAAACCCAGAUUCAAGCAGAGCCCAAUGAAUUCGUGCCGACAGAGGAAGAAGAAUCUGUAAGAGACUGAAGAAGAAGUGAGUUUCGUGAUUGUGAUCUGCCUUUCGCUUUGCUGCUUUCGAAUGAUAUUUCUUCGCUGUCCCCAGAAGAAAUGUUAAUUAUUUUCCAGAUCUGAUUUAAUUUAAUUGGCUAUUAAAAUGGAUGACCUGUCUUUUUAAAUAUUUUGUUUUACAAAUCAGACCGGAACUAGAUAAAUUGUCUAUUACCACCUUAUCACUCAGACAGUCGGUGUGUUUAAUAGCUUUUCUCUUAAUUUUUGAAGCUAUUUUUGUAAAAAGAAAGGGUAUUGAGAAACUUACCCAAAAGUUUAUAAGAACACAAUAUUAACUAAAGUAAAACAGAAAAUAAGAAAAAACUAUUUUAUGUAAAUUAAAUUUAAUAUAAAACUGAAACAAAAACAUUAAAAAUUACAAAAAAAAAUUAUAAUAACACAAUCAAACCAAACCAAAUUUAACUAAAGUAAAUAGAAAUUUUUAAAAAUCAACAUUAAUAAUGACUUUUGUCUUAGAUUGGGGUAUUGUUAAUUCAAAUAAUAACAAACAAUUAGUUUAUUGGUUCGGUUUAAUUCAGAUAAUCUUAAACCGAACUAUUAUUUUGAUAAUAGAUUUUGGAUGGAUUUCAGUUUGUUUUGCCCACCCCUAGUUUCAACAUCUCAACUUCUUCAUUCGAUCUCGUCGACGACACUCAUAAGUUUCAACAUCUCAUCUUCUUCUUCGUUCUCGUUGAGGAUAGUCUUCUUCCAGUUUCUACGACGUGAUCUGUGCCCAUGUUGACAUUCUUUUGGUAUCAAUUUGUCAACCAAUUGGUGGGAGCUACACUUAUCUUGGACUUGUUAGGAAGUGUUUCGCUUGUUUUACACUCAUGCUCUUAUGGUUUUAAUCGCUACCGAGUCUAGUUCUCAUUUCUUCUAUAAGCUAAUCAACAGUUCAGUUCUCACAACUGUCAACCAGAGUUUUUCUGAAAAAAAUUUGUGGUUUCUUCUGCAAAAAUAUAGAUUUUAAGUUGGUCACUGAGUCCAGGGAAACACACUAAUAAGAAGGAACAAAAUUAGUGCGCUUCUUCUUGUUAGUGCGUUUCUUCUUAUUAGUGUGAAACCAGAUCUUAAUCGUUUUUGCCACCAAGAAAAGCAUCGCCUGCAAGUUUUAAACAUAGAAUUAGAAAACCAAUGUGUUUUAUAUUCAUUUUUUCUCAAACUAUGAUUCAUAACAAUCAUGUAUACACGAAUGAUCCCAAAUACAAAAUAUAUGUAUGCCUUUAGCUAAGUUACACACCAAAGUUUAGAUCCAUUGAUUAACAAUCUAAACGAAUCAAUGAUUUUUUUGCUGGAAAAUACACGUAAUGGGUUUUGCUGAAAUGUCGCAAGACUUUAACUAGUUAGACUAUCAUCAGAUUCAUUCACUAAUCGUUAAAGCAUCAUACACAACUUCUAUCAGAUUUCAAUGAUCUAAUCCUGUGUAAGCCAAAAGAUAGAGACGAAUGGAAACGAAUCUGAGAUGUUGAAAAAUAUCAAGCACAAAUCACUCCAGACAGUAUACAUACGGUUAAAGAAUCAACAUUGUCGUUUUUUACUUAAGCACCAAAAUUCGACAAUUUCAAAUUCAGUUCAAAAUCCAUGAAAUCAUGCCACGAAGUGAUAAACAUCAUAAGGAUCAAGGCAUUUCACUAAAACAAAAACAAAUUAGAAUUUCAACCCACAAGUAUACAUCACUCUGCGAGAAUUGGUGAAACCCCCUUUUUAAAACUCUAGGAUCAAAACUUGGAGUUGGGACUGAGAGGCCAUACAUGUGCUUCGCCGAAAACGGUUAGCAUCGAUGGAUUGAGCUCGAAAAGCCGAUGAAAAUAGGCUAAAGAACCGCACAAAACCGUUCAGUAUUGUGGGUUUUCGAAAACUUGAGAUUGAGAGAGUUUUGGUGAAGAAAAAACGAGUUCAAGGUUCUUUUUGAUCCCCAAAAUUGGCGAAUGGGAGGUAUAAGGAGGGUUUUCCGGUUCAAUUUGAGUGAAAUCGAACCGGUUCACCGAGUCAAGGACCGGUUUACCUGUGUCAAAGAGCGCCUUAUCCGCAAAACAAAGAGCGCGCGAACAUAAACUAAAAGCGAUAUCUGAGAUCUGAGGCAUAUGUAUUCAAAGUCAAAACAGCAAAUCAAAUUCAAGGUCGAGAUUUGUUCUGCGAUGCGAUGGCGAGCGGGCGUUCCUGUUUUAAACAUAUAAUUACAAAACCAAAGUUUACAUUCAAAACACGUGUUUUAUAUUCAUUUUUUCUCAAACUAUGAUUCAUAACAAUAACAAUAUACACGGAUGAUCCCAAAUACACGUAAUGGGUUUUUCUGAAAUGUCGCAAGACUUUAACAAGCUAGACUAUCAUCAGAUUCAUUCACUAAUCGUUAAAGCAUCACACACGACUUCUAUCAGAUUUCAAUGAUCUAAUCCUAUGUAAACCAAAUGAUCAGAAACGAAUCCAGAGCCAAAAGAUAGAGACGAAUGUAAACGAACCUGAGAUGUUGAAAAGAAGCUGAGAUGUUGAAACUCUUGAGUGUCCUCAACGAGAACGAAGAAGAAACUGAGAUGUUGAAACCCUUGAGUGUCGUCGACGAGAUCGAAGGAAGAAGCUGAGAUGUUGAAAUUAGGGGUGGACAAAAAAAAACUGAAACCCAUCCAAAAUCUAUUAUCAAAAUAAUAGUUCGUUUAAGAUUAUACGUAUUAAACCGAACCAAUAAACUAACCGUUUGUUAUUAUUUGAAUUAACAUACCCCAAUCUAAGACAAAAGUCACUAUUAUUUUUGGUUUUUAAAAUUUUCUAUUUACUUUAGUUAAAUUUGGUUUGGUUUGUUUGUGUUAUUAUAAAUUUUUUUGUAAUUUUUAUUGCUUUUAUUUCAAUUUUAUAUUUAAUUUAAUUUACAUAAAAUAGUUUUCUCUAAUUUUCUGUUUUACUUUAGUUAAUAUUGUGUUCUUAUAAACUUUUGGGUAAUUUUCUCAAAUAGUAUUUCUUUUUACAAAAAUAGCUUCAAAAAUUAAUAUUAAAUAGCUUUUGAUCAAAAAAGAAAAAAAAUCGUGUCUUUCUUUCCCAAAACAUUGUCGUUUUGUAGGAUGGAAGAAAUGGGCCAGUGGUCCCAUUACGUAGUUUUCUUUGCUCAUAAACUCGCGACUCGAACUUUGGGGUUUUCUUCCCGAAUAAGGAAUCAAAAUGGCCUACGUGGAGAAGGACGUAACACUUUGCUGACAAGUGGCGACAUGAUUCGAGUUACAACUACGAGAACAACUCAAGAUAACAAAAAAAUAAUACUCCAUCUGUUUCUGUUUCUGAACGUAAAAUGUUUCAAAAAAAAUUGAUGUUUCAAUAUAUAAGAUAUUUUUUAAUUUUUAUGUAACUUUUACUUUAUUAAAAAUUGUGUAACCAAUCAUAUUUAAUAAUUUAUUUUAUUAUUGGUUGAAUACAAUUAUUUUAUAAUUUUAAUGAUACUCCACACCAUACAUAAAGUCAAAGUAAAACAUAAGAAUCAUUAACCUGGCCAAUUGCUUUCUCCCCAUUAACCUCCAAGACCUGACCACGAUUUCUUUCCUAGACUCCGAUUUGCUUGUGAUUUUUUUUACGUUUGGUUUUAAUUUUUUUUUUUUGUCGUUUUCUUGAUGAGUAGGUGGAAGCAUCGGAAAACCAAGCUGGCGGAACAGUAGAUGCCUCUCUAUGAUCUUCCUUCGAAGAUCCUUUGUUGACUCUUUAAUGUUGAUUUAAAGGUAGGCUUCACUUUCGUUUGGUAAUACGCUUUUUUUGUUUUUUGAGUGUUUGAAUUAUAAGCUAACUUUAAGAUUUGUCUAUGAUUUUGCAUUAGUGGUGCUUAUGCGCAGAUUACUCUUUUUCCGGAACCUAUUGUAAGUUAUAUUUUCUUAUGUUCAUUUAGUUGGAGCGGAGUAUAGGAUGAUCAUAUUCUUCGAAAAUCUGAUAUAUUAAUUUUUUUUUAUUUUCCAGCAAGACGAGAAUGCAAUUGAGAAAGAGGCACCUCUUCCUCCGCCCCCCCAGGUUCCAAGUGCAUUCCUUCUGCAAAACCUUGACUGCUUCGGACACAAGUACACAUGGUGGAUUUUCUGUGCUUAGCCGACAUGCUGAUGAAUGUCUCCCGCCUCUGGUUGGUGCUUUAGUUAUAUAUUGAAAACCAAUAUUCCUGAAUUUUGUUCCAAAAUAUGCUUUAAUUCAAUGUUUCCCUUUGUUUCUUCUUUCAGGAUAUGUCACGUCAGUCUCCUACUCAGGAGUUAGUAGCAAAAAAAUUGCAUGCAAAUGAGUGGCGUUUUAGACAUAUUUUCCGAGAUAAUGGGAAUUUGUAUGAGUUGCAUUUGUAUGAGUGGAGGCGGGGAAAACGGCGCCGUAUAAGGGAGCAGUUGAUUGCGUGUUGAAGACGGAGAGAGCUGAAGGGAUCAUGGCUUUAUACAAGGGGUUUUUGCCGACGGUGUCGAGACAAGCACCGUUCACGAUGAUUAUGCCGGUGGUGUUAAUAUGUUCUCAUUCUAUGUUUUCUAUUUUGAGUGUAAAUUCAAGUAGAUAGAUUUCUCAUCUGGGUAACGCAUCAUGUUUGAAAGUUCAGAUCUUUGAAUCCAAUUUAAUAAUCUGCCGACAAAACUUUGUCUCCCCUAUAUACUUCAUAUAGUAGACCGGAUCAGUGCAUCUCUUAUCAAGUCAAGGCUUUAUUGAACUGUCACAGAUUUCAACCAAUCAUCGACAAUGUCUUCCUCUGCUGCUACCGUUGCUCAACAAACUGUUUCCUCCUCAACCUUUGACGAUCUCAGCCUUGGUCCGACUUCACAGGUGGUUGCUGGCCGGAUCCUCUGCUUUUGGGAUUGAAGGAACAUGAAGAAAAAUGGUGAAUUUGUGGGUAUCACCAUCCUCUGGCUAGAUGAAAAGGUUUCAACAUUCCUCUUUUAACCUUUAAAGAUUAUCAAAAAAAUUUAAGCAAAUUUACAAACUAACAGAUAAUAAAGCCUUACUUGGAUUCAAUGAAAGGAUCCUGUGUUUGCAUAUCGGGAAAACAAGGCUCUGUUUUACUUCAAUCAAAGACGUAUAUUCAGAUAAUAACACUGCGUUCACUUAGAACAGUUUAAGACCUUAUCUCUCCACGUUUGAUUGCAAGUUUGAUAAAAGAGAUUCAUCAAAAGUUUGUAGUUUUCUUUGCAGUGUAACAUGUUCAUUAAUUAUAUUUUUGUGUGGUGGUCUGAAAAUGGUGUUAUUCUCAUUAACAUAUUGUUUUGGUCUGUCGGUUUUAUUUUAGGUGUAAAACCUCGACUGAUGAAGGCUAAGAUCGAGGUGCUGAGAUUUACUCCGGUGAAUCAACCGGAGUUCCAGUGAGUUAUCACAUAUUUUAUUGAAUGAACACAUACAUCUAUGAAUCCUUGAAUAAAAUAAGUUAUGAUUUUGUUGGGUUUCCUCAUAUAGAAGAAAGAUUAGGGUUAACAUGCUUUUUGGAAACCUGAAAAUAAUAUGUUUUUUAAACUAGAUGUGGAAGGCAUGGACCUUCAAAGAACUACUUCUAGAGAACUAGGAAACUCGUUGCAGGUUGUGAUAUUUCCUUUAUUUUAAGUAUAGUAGAAGGUUCAUGGAUAUAUGAUAUAUCUAUAUCCUUCAUAGGUAGUGGUAAAUACAGUCGUACACAAAUAAAUUUAAACAUUGUAAUUUGCAGAAUUGUAAGUGUUUUAUAUGAAAACUAACAAUUUCUAACAUGCAUAUUAAGAUUUUAUUGGUUGAUUGAAAAUUAUUUCUAAUAAAAGACUUUUUCUGCAAUAGCCUGUCCCAAAAGAAGUUAUAAUAGCUAUUUUUGCCCCUAACUGUACGCAUUCAAUUUAAAAUCACGUACUUGCAAGUUUUGCAUUUUUAGGCCCGAAAUAGCCAUGACCUUCAUUAUUCUCUUGACUAUUAAAUCACAAACUUAGACUACUAAGCUGCAAAAAAAUAAAGCCUCAAAGAAAAUCUAACAUACAAAUUUACUACAACUCAAUACCCCACCAUAAAUCCUUAAAAAUUACUAAUAUUCACAUGCAAAAGACCAAUUCAGAACACACCAUCUCCUCAUCCUUAAUAUAAAGCAACAACAUCCUCGCAGCGUGCGUACGUGAACACAACAUCAUGUACACAAAAUUAGCCAAUACAGCAACAACGUUCCUGGCAGAAGAAGUGAGGCAAAUGCGAGAAUAAUAAUAAUGCAGUUCGUAGGUUUGCAACUCAUAUUGUAGGGCAUGAUCAAACCGUAGGAGUUAGAAUUCUUAAACCGUUUUUGUAUAUAAAUUAUUUUCAGGAACACACAAAACGUCUAUGCAAUGUGUUUAAUCAGAUUUAAGUUAAGACUUCUUCAGAAUUUUUGAUUAAAAACCUAAUUCCAUACCUCAGACAGUGAUAAUUUUUGUAUAUAUCUACCAUUUAUAAUUUUUAGAAAGCUUUUAAGUUGGGUUUGAAGUCCUCACUAAUACAUGUUUUCGAGAAGUCAUUCAAGACCAUAUUUGAGCAAGUAUCUCAGCCUUGCAUAAAGGGAUGACCGAGCACACAAACACUACCCAACAAACAGAAAAAACUAGAACAUCAAAUAAUAGUAUUAAUAUUCAAAAUUAUUUCCAAAAAUUCUGAUUAAUUAAAUAAUUAAAAUAAGAAACUGUAAAAUUAAUAUUACAUCAACAACGGUAAGAAAGUAAACCUUCUAUAAAUUUACAACUAAUAAUAUUUCAAAUCAUGAUGCAAAAUUUUCUUUCUAUCACAAACAAACUUAAAAAAAAAAAACAGAAAUUAAAUAGCAACAAUAAAUGUUAAGUUUAAAUUUUGGUUAAAAACGUUGACAAAAUUAUUUUGGUUAAAACAAUAAAUUGAAGACAACACAUAAAGAACUGGUAUACAAAUCGGUGGUACUUUCUUUUAAAGACAAGUACAAAAAUGAAACUUAAUAAUUUUAAAACCAAUCAAAAUUUAUACAGUUGUAAUUAUAAGCUUUACAAUUGUUUUACAUAAAAAUAACCAAUAUAAAGAAUAUAUAUAUAUAUAUAUAUAUCUUAAUUUAUAAUUUAGUUAACUUUUUAUUAAUCUUACUAAUAUCCUACAUAAAACUCCAAUAAAACACAACAAAUUAUUUCAAAUAGUUUUAAAUUUGCAUUUAUAUUUAUAGUUCUAUAACAAGUUUCAGUGUAUAUCAUAUUUGUUCGUUUUUAAAAUAAAUAUAAAUAUAAAAGUUAAUGAAUGUAAGCCGAAUAUAAGAAAUAUGAAUCGAACAUUUUGCUCUGACCCAACUCUGUCUACUGAUUCAACAUAACAAAGAUAAGACUCGUUCCUUCUUUUUCUUCUGAUUAAAGAAUGCAAAACAUGGCAAAGGCCUUUACUUGGUGGAGUCUUGGACCAUAUCUCAUGCGUUUGUUAUUUCGGCACUGAAGACAUUUUUAGUAAAAAAAAAAAAAAGGGUCAUCUUUGAGAAUUAAGAGUGUUUCACAGUUCCUUACUGAGAAUUUAUUUCGCAUGCAUUAUUGCCCCAUCUAGCUUCAAAACCCGUAUUAGUUUUUAGCCCAUUAAGGCCCAUGAGAUAUAUUCAACACAUAUUAGGCCCAUUAGGUUUUGAUUCGCUGCUUAUCGUCCUUAUAUUUAAGCGCGGCUAACUCCAAUCUAGGGUUUACGCACGCCACUGAGGAGAGGAGAGUUCAUCGCAGAGAAGAGAGAAAAAUGCCGGCGGCUAAGCAGAGGACCCCGAAAGUAAGCCGAAACCCCGAUCUGAUCAGGGGUGUCGGCAAAUACUCUCGCUCGCAAAUGUACCACAAGAGAGGUUUGUGGGCAAUCAAGGCCAAAAACGGCGGCGUUUUCCCCCGUCACGACGCUAAGUCCAAGGUCGAAGCUCCCGUUGAGAAGGCCGCCAAGUUCUAUCCAGCUGAAGACGUUAAGAAGCCUCUCGCCAACAGACGCAAGCCUAAGCCCACCAAACUCAAGUAAAAUCCAUUUUCUUUGAUUAGUGUUUUAAUUGAAUUUCAAUCUAUAGCAGAUUUGAGCUUGUAGGUUACGUAACAUAAUAGUUUUGAAUCAUUUGUUGGAAUCAGCAGUUUUUUUUUUUUUUUUUUGUGUUUGGAGGAUUUGCUGAAACGUUAGAUUCAUAAGAGAUUUGCAUAUUUAUUACAGCUAGAUAAGUUAUGUUCUGUCUGCUAUUGUGUGUGUGUUGCAGAGCCAGCAUUACUCCAGGAACUGUGUUGAUCAUCCUUGCUGGUAGAUUCAAGGGCAAGAGAGUUGUCUUUCUCAAGCAACUCACUUCUGGUUUGCUUUUGGUUACUGGUUAGUUCUCGUCUCUUCACACCUUGUAAUAGUGUUCGGUUGUUCAAUUUGGAAGGUGUGUUCAUACGUUUUCAUGUGUUUGUUUCAGGACCAUUCAAGAUCAACGGUGUCCCUUUGAGACGUGUUAACCAGUCGUACGUGAUUGGCACCUCCACAAAGGUUGACAUUUCUGGAGUCAGCAUUGAGAAAUUCGAUGACAAGUACUUCGGAAAGGUUGCUGAGAAGAAGACCAAGAAAGGAGAAGGCGAGUUCUUUGAAGCUGACAAAAAGGUUAGCAACACACAAAGCAACUUGUUACAAGCUUUCUUCUUUGUAUCAUUACUGAAUCUUUUGGGUUCUUAUUUAUUAUCAUUAGGAGAAGAAAGAGAUCCCACAAGAGAAGAAAGAAGACCAGAAAACCGUUGACGCAGCUCUGAUCAAAUCCAUUGAAGCAGUCCCAGAGCUCAAGAUCUACCUCGGCGCCAGGUUCUCUUUGUCACAAGGAAUGAAACCCCAUGAGCUCGUCUUCUAGAUUUCAUCUUAUCGUUUUGUUUCCCUUCAUGUUUCAAGAACACCUGUUUUCCCCUGAGUUUUUAUCCCUGGAUCUUAGAAAAUACACUAUCUUCUCUGAUUUAUAUAUCGACGUUCUACCAUAUCAUCAAUGAACUUAGAGAAUCUGCAUAAUCAUGAAUUAAUUUUAAACCAAAACGAUUGUUACGUUUACUUGUGUAGCAAACUACGACAUGACGAUUGUUAUGUUUAUUUGUGUAGCCAAACAUGACGACGUCCUAAGAAACGAAACGAACGUAUGAAUAGAAAUGUGAGUCCAUCCGCAACCGUGAUACCCGGUUAAGAGGCCAAUCCUUAAUAAAUCACUAACAAAUCAUUCAAACAAACCAACUUAGAAAUGAUCGUGCAUAAUCACUUGUCACUGACAAGUCAUUAAAAAGUUUGGAUAAUUAUACAAUAAAGGAGUUAUGAUUUGGUUCGAAACAAACAUGACAAUCCUAAGAAAACAAAAGAUAAUUAACAGAAACUAAUUAACAAAGGCAUAAUAAAAAGACACAACUUAAAACAUAGUGUGAUCAGGCACGGUCACUUUCGGUAGCGGCGAGAUUGUUACGACGAGCACGGCAACCGCAUGAACAGACGGUCAUGAGGAGUACGAGGAGACAUAUGUUGAAAACCAGAAGAUGCCUCCACUUCUCUCUUAUGUUGGCUAACACACCCGCUCUGCAUGCGUUGCAGUUAAAACAUAACUCCGUUUGCACGUUACUCCACGCACCGCAAUCACCGUUGUCCGUCGCAACCGUCGUUGCAUUUUUCGCCGGCGGCAUCCAGAACGUCGCGUUUCUGAACUGGAAGUUGCAAUCCGACGGUGGCUUACAACAACCUGACUGCUCAAGACAAAACAAGAAAUAUAAAAUUAUCUCAUAAAAUAUAACCGAUAAAUACUCUUUCAAAAAAUCGUUAAAAACCGAUUUUUUAGAAAAAAAUUGUUUCGAUUAUAACUGAUCUGCCGGUUAUAUAGAACAUUCGUUAUAUACUUAUAAAAUUCUAGGCAAGGAAUGAAAAUACCUGGAUUGGAGACAAGUUCUUGUGAUAAAACGCAUCAGCGAUCUGACUAACACGACCAUCACUCAAAUCAUCACAAACGCUAGCCUCAGCGAGACAAGACCUUAUACCAACCCAUCUCUUCCCACCAACAAAACCGUUUAGCCAAGUCGAGAAGUCCACCGUAUGGUACUCUCUAUACACUCGACCAGAGACCACAUGACCGGCUCCUUUGUUGGUCACAAAGAAGAGAAAUAUCGAGAAAACCAGUAACGCAACAAUGCCCGCAAUCAGUAUGAUCAAGUAGGAGACCAUUGCGACAUUCUCCUUGAAGCAAGAUCCUAUCACUCCUAUUAAAGACACCAAGAAGAGGAUGAUCCCGGUCGUGAGGAGUGGUGCACGAAUGGCUGAUUCACAAUCGGUCACGUCUUGAUGAACGAACAUGUAAAUGGAGUAACCGAUGGCUGAUGCGCCCACUAACAUCACCAACGUGUUGGCUACACCCACAACGAAGUUGCUUACUCGAAACAUUUUUGUGAUUUUAGUUUUUGUUUUUCUCUCUAGUGAAUGUGAUUCGAAUUUGAUAAUUAUGUUUUGAAACGUUUUCGUGUGUGUUUUUAAGAGUGUGGGUUGUUUGGGUGAAAGAGUGAACGGUUGAUUUUUGAGUAGUGGGGGAUACUAGUGGAGAUUAUGGUGUGGAUUGUUGACGGAUUCUGUAGCAGUUUCUGGUUUUUUUUUCUUCAGAAAAUCUAUUUUAAGCCAUUAAGAUUUUGAGAAAUAGAUUUCCUUUUUUUUUGUAACAAGAGAUCUAGGGAAACUCGAUUUUCAACAUUUUUUUCAAUUUUCUAGCUUUUAACAAUAUAUUUCCUUUGUAUAUUUGAGUAUUAAUAGCAAUUUUAUAUAACCCUCUUGGUAGUCUAUAAGAAUAACUAUUUUAGUGAUAACCUCUAAUAUUUUAUAAAAUUGAAAUAAAUUAUAUAGUUAUCUCAAAUAUAUAUUUAUCACAAAAUAAUAAUAAUAAUAAUUUGAAUUUAAAUUCAGUAAUAAAAUAAUGUACUUCUUAUUAGAAUCAUUAAUCAUAUUAGAAAAACAAAAACAAAAAUUUAAAAUCACCACUCAUGUUUUCCAACAAACUAAAAUAAUCUACUUAAAAAUUAAAAAUUAAAAUAAAAAUAAAAACCACUUGUUUAGUGUUUAAAUACUGGUUUAUGUCACUAGAGUUGGAGAAUGUGUGUGGAAAGGUGUGGAAAGGUGUUAAGAAUAUCCUUCAAUUUAAGGAAUAGUUAGUAGCUACAUUAGAUUUCAAAAUUAUGUCAGAAUUAUCACGUCACUAACAGUAAACUCUUCAAAUGUUGCUGGAAAAAUGAAAACAUUUUGCUUUUGUUUAGCGGACUAAAUGCUUAUAGAAAAAAAUAAUAUGUUUAUUAUCAAACUAUUUUUGACAUGAAACUUCGAUAAAUACCAUGCAGUUACAUUGGGAUGUAGGAACUGCAAGUGAAUUGAUUACACUAGGGGUUUAGCCAAACGCGGAGCUGGGUACGUUGUCGAUGCAUUGUGUUGUUUUGUGUAUGUAAUUGUAUUGUUUGUUUUUUGACAAAAGUUUAUUUGGUCAUGUUGUCUAUAAUUGUCUACGAAUGGAUGAUCGAAAGUUACACAUGUUGAUUAGAUAGAUCUAACAAUGACCAUAGUAUUCAUUUGUAUUGUUAUUUUCUUUUAUCUUAUAUUGGUAUAGAUUUGAUUGACCUUUAGUGUGAUUUACAGUUUAAUGAUAAAAAAUAACCGAACUUAUGUAAUUGUUAAUUUACGGUCCAAAUAGUGUAAGGAAAAGGGUUUAAAUUUUAAUUUUUAAAAUUUUAAAUGUAUAUGUACAGUAAAUAAAAUAGUUUUCUUAGUUUACACGGAUUUUAUUGUGAAGCUUCUCAAAUGAAAGUAUAUUUUUUUUUGUAAAAUUAAAGUAAUAAGUGGAGAUAUUUAUAUAUUUAUAUUGUUAUAGAAUUAUUUAAUGUAGAGGUUUAGCGGUUUUUUAAUAAAAAUAGUUUUGUGGUUUAAAAAAAAAAAUUCAAUCGCAGACCAAAAAAAGAAAUUGGUAUAGCUUUAUGUUUCGAUAAAGUGAUAAAGUAAACUGGGUUUAAAUUUUUUGGGUUUGAAAUUUUGUGGGUCUUGGAACAUAAGAUUUUUCAGCUUCUAACUCAACCGUUAGGUUGUUUUUUUUCCGUUAUCGGAAGAGCUUCUAAAUUUUUAGUUAUUAGUUCAACAAAUUGAUCGUCUACCAGAUCUAAGCUGGAGAGCCCGCCGAAGGCAUCUAGGGGCGUAGUUUCUGCUCAAGCGCGGGGAAUAUGUAUAGGUGAUGUAGUAUUUUGUUAUAGUCUUUGCUUUACCAAGAUUUGUAUUCUAAUACGAUUGAGGUGGUGUACUGAAGUAUGGUUAUUUAGGUGUUUCGUAUGUGAAAUGUUUUUAAAUCUCUUUUAAACCUGUGAGCUUAUUAGGAUGCCAACAUUUUUAAUAAUUUUACCGUAAGCAAGAUCAAUAAAACAUAUAUUAAUUAUGUACUCGAUCAACUCUAUCAUCUUUAAGGAUAAUUGACUGCUGGAUUUUGGUUUUUGUUAAAGGUUUAUAUCUUUCAUGUGUGUUAACAGGUUGUUUUUAUUUCUCUCACCCGUUAAUUUUAAAGUGUUCAAGUCAUAGAAUUCAUAGUAUAAUAUAUUUAAAAUGUUUCGAGUCAUAGAAUUCAUAGUAUAAUAUAUGAACCAAGAGACACAAUUUACAUCACUGUUUGUGUCGAAAAUAAUAAUAACUAGAUCUCGAUCCGCGCAACCGCGCAUUUUUUGUUUUCAUUUAUUUUUAUAAAAAAUAUUUUGUUUUCAAUUCUAAAUUGGUAUAUAUUAUAUUAUAUAUGUGUCUAUUAAUUUUUAAAACAUAAUAAGUUUACUUUAUAUUUUUUCAUUGAAUAGAUUGUUUCAAACUUUCACAUGUAUUUGUAUCUUCUCUACAUAUAUAUUUUUGGAUUAUUAUUUCAUUAUUAAAAUCGUAACUAUAUAUAACAUUAGUAAAAUAUUGUUUUAUUGUCAUAUUCAAAGAUAUUGUAACAUUUCACAAAUUUAGAAAGUUUUUAAAAAAUUAAACUUUUCGCUUCAUAAAUUUAUAUUCUCAAGUAAAUAAUUAAACAUUUAGUUUUUGUUUAAUUUUUAAAAUAAACUAUAUAGUUUAAACUUUGUUUUCAUUGGUUUAAGGUAGUAAAGAUUAAUCAUUAUUAGAUAAUAUGAUUUUUGUUAUUUAAAAAAAAAUCUUUAUAAUUUUAAAAGUUAACAUAGACAAAUAUUUAAAUAUUUAGCAUAUAGAUGUAUAAUAUUAUAACAUUAAAUGAUAUUCCCUCUGUUUCAUAUUAAGUGUCGUUUUGGAUCUGUGCACACGGAUUAAGAAAACAAUUAAUUUUUCACAUUUCCUAUAUAAAAACAUAAUUAUCAAUACACCUAACCAUAUUUCAACCAAUAGAAAAAUAAAUUACAGAAUAAAACUAAUAAAUUUUGCAUUGAAAAUCGAAAACGACACUUAUUUUGUAACGAAAAAAAUUCUCUACAACGACACUUAUUCAGAAACGGAAGGAAUAUCUAUUUAAUUUAUACUAUCUAUAAAUCUAAUAGAUCAUCUAUUGUUUAAAUUCAAUUAUUGAUAGCCCAAUAAAAAUUUCUAUUAGAUCCAAAAUUUAAAUGAUAAGAUUAUAUAUUAAAUGUAACACGACUUUCUAUGAAUAAGUCCAUUAGGUCAAUUUUUUUAAAAAUCACACAUGAAUCAAGGUUAUGACUUCUGUUUUAAUAUAUAAAGAUUAAGGUUCCACAAAACAAAAAAAAAGGAAAGAACCUUGCAGCCGGUAGGGUUCGCACUAAUUUGAUCAAAAGGUGUAACAGGCUUUCCAAUGAAAAAUGUGAUUUCCAAAUCAGACAGAUUCUUAAGAUCUGAAGCAAAUGGGGUGGCAUAGUAGUAUGUGCAAAACCUGAAACAAUUAGAAGAAAGGGUCAGACUUGCAUUGAAAUUUGCAAACUGGUAUUAACAUCAAUGUCUUUCUCGAGAAGAAACCAUCAGUCGACUAUAAAUAAAUAUUGUCGUAUUUGUUAGAAUGUAUGGCUCUCAAAGGAAUAACAUGGUAUUCUCAAUCUACGCUUAUUAAAAAGUUAGAUUGACCAUUUCCAAGAUCAUACAUACACCUUGGUAGUGGUACCAGUAAACCCAGCACAAACCUUCAACAUAUUUUAAUACCUACAAGGGAAAGUAGGUCAACAGACCUGAUGACAGUUUCAUUUUCUUCUAAAACUGUCACAUGAGUCAUUUCAAGAAAGUAGUUCAAAUCUCGCUAUAAACCUCCUUAAAAGAUAAAAGAGAUGUGUAGAUAUUUGAGGGUCAAAAAUCGUCAGAAUGAGACUUUAUGGGAUGUCAAGAGUUAUAAAUGCGCACCAAAACACAUUUAGCACAUGACUGACGAAACCUUUACUCCAUUUUAUACGUAUAACAAAUCAUCAGAAGAGUGACAGAGAAGUCGAUUGACAUAAACUCACCAAGUCUUGUAUGAUUUGCUCAGUUUCCUCUGAAAUGGACGUACUAAAUUUCUCAGCAUAAUACCUCUCCUUGUAGCCGGGCUCUCCCAGCUUAAUAUACACAAAAGAAAGAUCAAUUUGAGGUGUAUCUCUUAAACAAUUCCCACCGUAAAUAAAGAGACCAAAAUCUCUCCAGCUUACAGGCUCAUACUGAGAGAAGGUUGCAACAAUCUUACCUUAUUGUCUAUCGGUCCAGGUGGUAUUUCAGAUGGGCCUCUUCUUGAUAUUUGUUUCAUUUCUUCAUUGUUCUCCAUUAACUGAUACCAAAAUUAGCACACCGUUAGUCAGAGCAUAUGCAGUUUGAACAACAAUAAUAACCCAUUGAUUAGAAAGGGAGUUACAGAGAGCUAGCGGACCCGGGGCUAGAGGGUUAGUGACGAGCCUAAGAGAUUGAAAAAUUGGUUCAGAUAGCUUUGUGCUGCAUGCACGAGGAGCCAGCUCUGAGGCCCACAAUGGCGGCCGUUGUUAUGUUCUGAGGGGAGCAUACCGAUAGAGAAGCACACAAUUCUUAGCUGCAUCCUCUCUUUUAAUUGGUUCACCCUCACAGAGAUUCUAUGUAUCUAGAGCUUGAUCAGUCUCGAUAACUUUGAACUCCACACUCCUCAUUCCUCUAGAGCUUGAUCAGUCUCGAUAACUUUGAACUCCACACUCCUCAUUACUGCUCUCACAGAUGGCAAUAAAAAAUUAUGAUACUGACAUAAAUAAAAAGCAUAAACUCCAAAAGACGGAGAUUGACAAUGGAUGAUAUGAAAGAUAACUAAAGAUUCUAUCUAACUUACAUUUGAGGUAAGCAUCAAAGAGGUUUCCGGUGACUCCUUCGACGGUGUCAUCAACAGGCAAGAUAGGCACACGCUUUCAAUACUUGACGUCAGGGCAUUGGUGUACAGAGAUGACAUCACCCAGUCUAACCUUCAAGUUGGACCUUACGACCUUGUUCAUUCUGAUUCAUCAGCAAGCAAAAUGAAGACAGUGUCCUUCCUUUUCUUACCCUGCAAAGCGAGAAGUAGAUCAUUUUUAAUGACAUGACAAGUAGACCCUAACUCAAUGCAUAUACAAAUAUAAUAACAAAAAAAAGAAGAUUCAGGUUGGUUUGACAUGGUGAUUGCCGAAAUUAACCAGAGAGAGAGAACAGGAAGGUAAAGAGAUGGGAGGAGAACUCAUUAGGUUUGCAGAUUUACGGCCAAGAUGAAGUGUGGAAGAACGCUAACAACUAUUGAAGCCCUAAUGACUUAAUAAUAAUCGAACCAAACUUAGAAAACCCAAAUCAGACCAAACCAAACUAAUUAACCUAUUCGACCAAAAUAAAUAAACCAGAAAUUAAGUGGGUCCCACGUGGACAGUAAGCAAAAAUUGAUCUAUUAUAAUAUAUAGACUAGAUUUUGAUCCGCGCUUUCAAAGCGCGGGAUCGUUUCUUUUUUAAAUUUUAUUUAAAUUAAUAAAUAUUUGUCUAAUCUAUAAUUUAAUAGAUUUUUUUAUUUGUUUAUAGUCAAUUUUUAUAAUAUUGUCUUUUUUAUUUUUUUAAUUAUUAUUAAAAUAAAAAUGUAUGUCCUAUAUUAUUCUACGUAGAUCAUGUUGGUUUGUUCGAAGGUGUGGGUUUGAAAGAAAACCGGUGUUACCUAUUUAUAAUAUUGAUCGGAUUCAAAGCGAGGUGUUAGGUUUUAGGAGAAACUUGGGGAGAAAGUUGAGAGUCUUCUCUUUAAAAUCGAAUCUCUCUAUAUUUUAAUAUUAGUUUUUGGAAAAUUCAGUUACCAUGUCAAACAAUUAAAAUAUUUUUCUGUGUGUUCCUCAAGUUAGGGGAUUAUCUUUUUAUUUGAUUUGAUUCCGUAAAUCUCUGAGUACGAAAUUGGAUUUAAGACGACUUAUUGGGCUUAAAAAACGAAAAUGUAAGUAGCAAAUUGGUUGGAAUUUUUAUUUUUGAAAAACAUUUAAAACAAUUGAAAAAUAAUUGAAAAAGGGAAUGAAAUGUUUUGUAAUUAAUAAGAAAAUUUAGGGGCAUAUUCAUAUGAAGUAUUCUGCUUUAAUAGUAUAGAUUACCAAUUACAGAGUUAAAUCACUCUUUUGAGUAAAAUAGACAUCAUGACAUGUACAACAAAUGUACUGAAUCAGAUAAGAACGUUUAAAUUAAUAAUUCACUAUAGACUCAUGUGCUGAUAGUUUUAUGUUUUUAUACUUUUGAUUUGAGGAUGUUAGAUAUAGUAAAAGAAUAUAGAUUCACUACAAGAAAACAUCGGUAUUCUGACGGACAUUCCGACGGAAAAUGAAAUCCUCGGAAUUUCCUCGGAAUAUACCGACGGAAUUCCGAGGAAACAUCAAUCCGUCGGAAUAUUCCGAGGAAAUUCCGACGAACUAGUGAUCGAUCGAUGCGUUUUUGGACAUAUACCCAUCGAUCGAUCACAUUGUUACGCUUUGGUCCAUCAUAGUGAUCGCUCGAUGCGUUUUUGGCCAUAAAUACAUCGAUCGAUCCGUGUAUAAAAAAACAUUCGAGAUUUUGAGACCCCAAACACUAGUUCCUCAGAAUUUCCUCGGAGUAUUCCGAGGAAAUUCUAAGGAACACUUGAUAUCCUUGAUCGAUCGAUGGGAUAAUCUCUUCGAUCGAUCACAUUCUUACGCUUUGGUCCAUCUUAGUGAUCGAUCGAUGUGUUUUUGGACAUAAAAACAUCGAUCGAUCCGUGUAUAAAAAAACAUUCGAGAUUUUGAAACCCCAAACACUAGUUCCUCAGAAUUUCCUCGGAAUAUUCCGAGGAAAUUCUGAGGAACACUUGAUAUCCUUGAUCGAUCGAUGGGAUAAUCUCAUCGAUCGAUCACAUUGUUACGCUUUGGUCCAUCUUAGUGAUCGAUCGAUGCGUUUUUGGGCAUAAAUACAUCGAUCGAUCCGUUUAUAAAAAAACAUUCGAGAUUUUGAAACCCUAAACACUAGUUCCUCAGAAUUUCCUCGGAAUAUUCCGAGGAAAUUAUGAGGAAGAAAAGGGUUUCCUCAGAAUUCCCUCGGAAUAUUCCGAGGAAAUUCCGAGGAAAUAGGGUUUUUAAACCGAAAACAACGUUUUGCGGUUUGAAUAACACCUAUAUAACCCUUAUUAAGUGUCUUACGUUCAUUAUGAAGUCAAAAAUUUGUUCAUUACCCUAUAAUAAACACUUUUCCGAUUGUAUGAACGAAAUCCCCACAACAUAAGAGAAACACUUAUACACUUUAAUGAACGGUAAAGGGAAUACUUACAAUUCGUUUUGAAAUUUGUUAUUUCAUGGUUUAUGCUCAUCUAUACAAAGAAUCUUCAAUGGUAUGCAUUACAAUUGUAUAAGAAAUGAAAUACGGCAAAAAAAAUUGAUGUUUUGAAACCCCAAACACUAGUUCCUCGGUAUUUCCUCGGAAUAUUCCGAGGAAAUUCCGAGGAACAAUAUAAAUUAAUAGAAAUACAUGCACAUGAUAUUCUUUUUCCUCGAAUUAAUGAAAAUAUUCCGAGGAAAUUCCGACGGAUAUUUAAGUGGCCGUCGGAAUUUCCUCGGAAUAUUUUCAUUUAACCGGGCAAACAAGCCGCCAAAUAUUUCGCGAAAAUUGAAAUUGAAAAUACUGAGGGAAUUCCGACGGAAAAUAUCCGUCAGACCCAAGGUUUUAUAAACUCGAACCGCAUUUUCUUCCCCAUUUCUCUCUUCUUCCCCAUUUCUCUCUUCUUCCUCUCCGGCGAUCUCUCUCUCCUUCCGGCGUUCUCCACCUUCUCUCGCGACGAUCUCUCCGGCGAAUCCUUUCCAUUCCUUUACAAAUCAUGUAAGGACCUUAUCCCACUCUCUUAGGUCCUAUUUGUUAAGUUUUUAAGUAGAUUUGAUGAUUUUAGAAGUUUUUUGAUAGAUUUUUGUUAGGGUGAUUGGGUAGGAUUGUGAUUUGUUGUGUAAUAGGUUUAAAAUUGUGAUUUGGUUGUGUUGAAUUGAUUUAGAAUUUUUUUUAUAAAUUGUUUAUUAUUUUUGUAUUUACAAAACGUUUAUAUAAAUUCGAUUUUACAAAACGUUUUUGUAUAUAAAUUCGAUUUUUGGAUUUAUAAAAGAUGAUUUCAUAUUUAUAAAAAUAUUUAUAUUUAUUAAAACUAAUUUUGUAUUUAUAAAACAUUUUUUUGAUUUAUAAACACUAUUUUUUUAUUUUUGUAUUUAUAAAAACUAUUUUUAAAUAUACAAAACGUUCUUUGUAUAUAAAUUCGUUUUUUGGAUUUAUAAAAGAUGAUUUCAUAUUUUAAAAUUAAUUUUGUAUUUAUAAAACAUUUUUUGAUUUAUAAACACUAUUUUAUUAUUUUUUGUAUUUAUAAAUACUAUUUUGUAUUUAUAAAAAGAUGAUUUCAUAUCUAUAAAAAUAUUUAUAUUUAUUAAAACUAAUUUUGUAUUUAUAAAACAUUUUUUUUAUUUAUAAACACUAUUUUAUUAUUUUUGUAUUUAUAAAAACUAUUUUGUAUUUAUAAAAAGAUGAUUUCAUAUUUAUAAAAAUAUUUAUAUUUAUUAAAACUAAUUUUGUAUUUAUAAAACAUUUUUUUAUUUAUAAAAACUAUUUCAUUAUUUUUUGUAUUUUAAAUAUGUUUUCUAUUUCAAUUUUAAUUUUAUAUUUUUGAAUUUCAAUUUAAAAAAAUAAAUUUAUAAUUUUUUUUUUGAAUUUUGGAAAUAUUCCGAGGAAGUGUAUCCCUCGGAAUAUUCCGACGACAUAUUCCUCGGAAUAUUCCGAGGAAUUUCCGACGAAAAAAGUCCUCGGAAUAUUCCGAGGAAAUGAAUUUCCUCGGAAUUCCGUCGGAAAUUUCCGAGGGAUUUCCGAGGAAAGAUGAAUUUCCGAGGAGUUAUUUCCGAGGAUUUUUUUCGUCGGUAUGUCGUCGGAAUAGCGUUAUUCCGACGACAUACCGACGAUUUUUUCCCUCAGUAUGCCGCUGUUUUCUUGUAGUGAUUGUUGUUAAUCUUAAAAGUGUCAUGUUAGGAGGUAUGGUCACUUGUUAUCGCUUUGUAUAAAUACUAGGAUAAGAGGGUGAGUUUAUUUGUAUAUAUUAUCGAUAGUUUCUUUUAUAUAUUUGAUCAUUUUAUUUAUAUAUAUAAAAUAUUUUUUUUUGUUAUUAUAUAAUUUCUUUCCGAUGGAUCAGAUAAAUUUUUAUUAAAAAUAAUGGAACAAAACUAUAAUUAAUACAUAAUGGGUUGAUCGGAUUGGACAUUAAACAAAUUAUGACAUAAAAAUUUUAUUUUUUCUAUCGAACACAUUAUUUAAAAAAAUGAACAGUAUUGUUUUCACAGUUGAAUUAUUUUGACUUUUAUCUUCCAUAUGGUUUUGAAAGCUUUCAAAUCAACCAUCGAAUUGAUAUAUACAUGCCAUUUUAAUGUUUUUAGUCGUAUACUUAAGGAAACUUACAUUUUUGUAAUUUAAAGUCGUUUUAAAAAAUUCAAAAUAUAACAUAUAAGAAAAAAUCUAACAUAUAAGAAAAAUAUAACAUAUAAGGUGUCAUCAUUUUUGUAUUUUAAAGUCGUUUAAAAAAAUAUAACAUAUAAGGUUUUCUCAUUUUUGUAAUUUAAAGUCUUUUUAAAAAAUUCAAAAUAUAACAUAUAAGAAAAAAUCUAGUUUUUUAAUUAUAUGGUUAAUGUGAUUGUUUAUUUUUUUUUUAAUAAUAUAAAAUUAAACAAAAAUGAAAAAGGAUGCAAAAAUUGUUAUCAAAUCUUUAUUAUUCAUAAUCAUUAAUUGUCAUAUAUAUGUAAAUCAUAUUAGGUAAUUCUGUAGUUUUUAUUUAAGAAAAAAAUACAAACUUUUUAUAUUUUAGGUUAAUAUAAUGUUCUCUAGUGGACAUUAAACAAAUUAUGACAUAAAACUUUAUUUUUUCCAUCGAACACAUUCUUGAAAAAAGUGAACAGUAUUGUUUACACAGUUAAAUUAUUUUGACUUUUAUCUUCCAUAUGGUUUUGAAAGCUUUCAAAUCAACCAUCGAAUUGAUACAUGUCAUUUUAAUGUUUUUAGUCGUAUAUUUAAGGAAAACUUACAUUUUUGUAAUUUAAAGUCGUUUUAAAAAAAUUUAAAAUAUAACAUAUAAGAAAAUUCUAACAUAUAAGAAAAAUAUAACAUAUAAGGUGUCCUCAUUUUUGUAUUUUAAAGUCGUUUAAAAAAAAAAUAUAUAUAACAUAUAAGGUUUCUUCAUUUUUGUAAUUUAAAGUCAUUUUAAGAAAUUCAAAAUAUAACAUAUAAGAAAAAAUCUAAUUUUUUAUUAUAUGGUUAAUGUGAUUGUUUAAUUUUUUUUAAUAAUAUAAAUUUAAACAAAAAUGAAGAAGGAUGCAAAAAUUGUUAUCAAAUCUUUAUUAUUCAUAAUCAUUAAUUGUCAUAUAUAUGUAAAUCAUAUUAGGUAAUUCCGUAGCUUUUAUUUAAGGAAAUAAUACACAGUUCCUAUAUUUUAAGUUAAUAUAAUGUUCUCUAGUGUUAUAUAAUUAUGGAAUAAUGUGACACCAUUAGAUUAAACUAUACUUUAUAUUAGAUGCUUUAGAAUUCUUUGAAAUGAAAUUUAGAAGGCAUUUAGAGUGCCCUCUAGGAUUUGAAUUUUUUUUUUAAUUAAUACAAAAUGAAAGUUCUAAUUUUUCAAAUGCUUCUCAAUUAGUAUAUAGGGGAUAAUCAUAAUCAGAUCCAAAACGUAAUGAUCAUCGCAUCAUAUAGAUCGUCUAGAACUCAAAAUCUAUAUGAAGCAAUUACGAUGAAAAUAAAUGAAAACCUCAGAACAUCACUACAACAUUUACUCUUGGAAUAAUAGUCAUGAUUUAUUGUUCAUAUAUUAUUAUGUUGAUAUACUAUGAAUGUGUUUUUGUAUUGGAUCUUUUUUAGUUUAAAAUUAAAAACAUGCCAAGGUAAAAUUCAAAUAGGACUAAAAUUAAAAACAUGCCAAGGUAAAAUUCAAAUAAGAAUCUAAAUUAGAUUAUAUUGCUACAAACAUUGCGUAAAGUUUCUGAUAAAUUGAAACUACAAUCAUGCUCCAAGAAGAGCACAAGAAUCUGCUGAAGUUCAUACAAAGAAUCCAAUACAGCUUCAAUAGCAAAAGGAAUCAUUCACCUAAACAAGAGAAUACCAACUAGAUUAGAUCUUUUUAAGCUUCGACUUCAACUUGCUUAGGAACAUGUUCAGCUGGAACCAACAACCCAAGACCCAUUUUACUCUCACCACCCUUCUCCUUAUACAACGGAUUCGACGUAACGAUCCGCACACCAGAGUCCUUGCGGAUCUCCAAAACCUCAGGCAACCCAUCCGAACACCCCUUGGACAUUCCCACAUCAAUCCUAAUAGCUUUAUCAUCACAAACACCGUUGAUCCCACCAUCUUGUAUCGUAUGCCCCAUGACCAUCCUCUUAACACCAGGAAUAGUCGAAAGCGCAUGCUCAAGCGCCGAACAAUCGCAUUUAUGAGGCGUUUCAUCAGAAAACUUCCUCAACCACACCACAGAGUUCCCUCCUCUACAAUACACAGGCGCAUACCUCCCUCCUCCUCCUCCAAUCCAACCCCUAACCUCCUCGUUGAUCCUCUCGAGCCCAUACUCUAUAUGCUCAGCUAAAAGACCUCCAUGAACGAACACGGAGUCUCCAACAACAGCAACCGUCUGAUUCUUGGACAAGAACCUCUUCGCAACGGGACCUUCAGGUCUCAACGCAGCGAUCCUAGCUCUAAUCCCUUCGAAGCAUUCAGGUUUAGCACGUGGGAAGCACGUGGGGAUCCCUUCGUAAGGAUCUUUAACAUUCUCAAGACCUUGGCACAAGCUCUUCAUCUCGUUCCCUAAGCAAUACCAAUCUAACCAAACCUGAACUUCCUCUAAUCCUUUCUUGGUAACAUACCUAAAGUCACCUUCUACGUUCAUGAUCUCGUGGUUCCCGUUCAUAGUCACGAUCUUACCUCCUGACCUCUCGGCCUCUCGCUUCAGCCUCUCGAGGAAGUAGAGAAUCUUCAUCUCAUCUCCGCCGCGAUCGAGCACGUCGCCGACCUGAACCACCAUGGCGGAUCCGCCUGUCCAUCGAUCAGACGAAUCGAUCAAUCCGGCGAGUCUGAACGCUUCCUUGGAUUUCUCGAGAUCGCCGUGGAGAUCGCCGAUUGCGACGAGGCGGUCAGGUUUCUCGAAACGCGUUUGCGGGAUCUCGUGCGGUGGAGUGGGAUCGUGCGGCGGGAAGAUGCCGGAGAAGGAGUAGUCGACGAAGGUGUCGACGAAGGAGGAGAUGAGAUUUGGGAUGUUUUUGCAGAUUCCGUUGGGGUUUGUUUCUCUGCUUGACAUUUCUCGAUGUGGGUGGUUCGAGUAGGCGAGGAAGCAAUAAUGGUGAAAUACAAUGCGUUUUAUUUUGUUAGUUUUGGAGUGCAUAUAUUAUGACCUGGAAUUGAAAGAACCAAAUCAAAUUACAAUAUCCGAACUGAACCGAACAAUCAUGGUGGUGUACCAAGACUAACCUUUCGAUCUAUGUGUUGGUUAUUAUAUACGUAGAACAAUGCGCUUUAGUUUGUCAAUUAAAAGGUAAUUUAUUCCAUAAUAAAUUAGGUCAAAUUUCCAAAAUAGCACAUUUCUAAAUUUAUGUCACAAAAAUAACUCUCAAAAACUAAAAUGACCAAAAUAGCAUUUUAUCUUUUGAAAAAUUUAAAUUUUUUUUAUUUUUCAAAAUUUGAAAUCUUAUCUCAAAACCCCACUCCCCAAUUCUAAACCCUAAAACCUAAACUCUAAACCCUAAACUCUAAACCAUAAACCCUAAAUCCUAAAUCAUAAAUCUCACCCCUUAACUCUAAACUCUAAAUCCUAAACCCCACCCCUAAACUUUAAACCUUAAAC
rnacentral:lncRNA from 1 species